rnacentral:lncRNA from 1 species
GAGCAUUCAGUGUCGGAUUUCCUACUAUGUAUCGUCCUUCUUUCAUUUGUGGUCCAUUGUUUUCUAUUGUUGGUUUACAGGUUUGGAAGGCAGCCAUGCUGCUAACCUGACUUUGUGUUGCACAAGAGCUUCACGUCGUCUGAAUGCGACGGUGUUACUGCCAUGGAGAUCGGUGUUGGGAUAGGUGAUGGCUUGCUAUGAAAUUUAGUGAAUGAGAAAAUUGACUUAUUGCUGUGCUUGUACAACUGUGUAAUUUUUCUGAUUUUUUAUUUGUUUUUGUGAAGGUCAAAAUGUUGUGUCCGAGAAGUUCAAGUAUGUUAGUUUAUAUUGUAUUAUUGAGAAGCUCCAACUUGUUGUAGGAGUGCAUUGAGAAACAGAGUGAAAAUAUCUAUAAAAAUGUAAGUUCGGGAGGAUUAAAAAGGAAAAGGAAGAAAGAAAAAGCUCACACUUUUGUCGUUGAUAUUUACAGUGACAAAUAAGCAACAAGUUCAUGUUUGUCAACCAUUGAAGUUCAUGUAUAUGGUAGUUGAUGAUUGUUGUGUGCACUUAGGGGAGCACAAAAAAAUGCGGCUGGCCAAGGUCCGUGGAUGUUGAACUUUCGUUCAGUGAGUGGCGUGUGUCUCAAAAACAAAUUGUGUUCACAAAAACAAAAACAAAAAAAGAUGCAAAAAAGAGACAAACCCAAGUAUUUUCGUAGGGAAAAUAAUGACAAGUUCAAAUUGUUCAAAUAUGGAAGCUCAAAAAUGUUAAAAAUAAAUCCAAAAAUUUCUAGUACUCUCCUCCCACCUAUUUUGUCUGGAUAUAAAAAUAUAGACCCUCUCUCUUGAAAACAAAAAAAAAACUAAGGAAUUUCACACACAAACUUAUAUGAAAGACCUAGAUAUGCAUGAAAAAGAAAUAAAAUCGUAAGUGUUCAACUUAAAAAUAAACUCAUGAAACUCAUUAUCGGGACAAACACAUUGGUUUUAUUGUCCACAUUUAUAAAAUAAAUAAUACAUAGUAAAAAUGUUGAGAAGUUCAAAUUAAAUUAAUGGGGUAGUUCGAUGUUUAAAACAUCUCAAAUUUUUUUCAUUACUAAAUAACAAAAAGUGAGAAGUUCAAACAAAAAAUAGAGCAAAUUAAAAUUUAUAAAAAGGGAUUUUCACUUUUUGUAAAUAAAAAACUCUAGAGUUCAAAUUUAAAUUACAGACCGGUUCAAUAUUUAUUAGAAAAAUAGAAUGUUUCCAUUACUAAAAGAAAUUAUCCAAGAAAUACAAAAUACAAAAAUAGAGUAGUUCAACAUUUAUUAAAACUUAGAUUUCCUUGUUACCAAAGAGAUAAUAUCGAGAAGUUCAAAUUAAAAUUAAUAAAAGUAUGAACUUCAAUUUUUAAAAGAUGUUUGAUGCUUAUUUAAAAACACUUUUUCCUAAUAAUAAAACUUAGAAGUUCAAAUUAAAAUAAUAGAGAAGUUCAAAGUUUAUAAAAAACUAAAAUAAAAUCUCAUUACGAAAGAAUAAAAUAAAGAAGUUCAAAAAAAGGAAGAACCAAAAAAUGUUUAAAUAGAAAUGUUUUGUUUAAAAAUAUAGAAGAAGUUCAAACUAAACUAACGAAGUGGCUUGAUGUUUAUUAAAUUAUCAACCAUGAAGUUCAAAAUUCAAAAAUAGUCAANNNNNNNNNNNNNNNNNNNNNNNNNNNNNNNNNNNNNNNNNNNNNNNNNNNNNNNNNNNNNNNNNNNNNNNNNNNNNNNNNNNNNNNNNNNNNNNNNNNNUGAGUGCUUCUACUGCAAAGGGACUGGUCACUGGAAGCGGAACUGCACGAAGUAUUUGGCGGAUAAGAAGGAUGGCAAAGUGAAAGGUAUAUUUGAAAUACAUGUUAUUGAUGUGUACCUUACUAAUGCUCGUAGUAGCGCCUGGGUAUUUGAUACUGGUUCUGUUGCUCAUAUUUGCAACUCGAAACAGGGGCUACGGAUUACACGAAGAUUGGCUAAGGACGAGGUAACGAUGCGCAUCGGAAAUGGUUCCAAGGUCGAUGUGAUCGCCGUCGGCACACUACCUCUACAUCUACCUUCGGGAUUAGUUUUAGACCUGAAUAAUUGUUAUUUGGUGCCAGCAUUGAGCAUGAACAUUAUAUCUGGACCUUGUUUGAUGCGAGACGGUUAUUCAUUUAAAUCAGAGAAUAAUGGUUGUUCUAUUUAUAUGAGUAAUAUCUUUUAUGGUCAUGCACCCUUGAUGAGUGGUCUAUUUCUGUUGAAUAUCGAUCGUAGUGAUACACAUAGUCAUAAUAUUGAAGCCAAAAGAUGCAAAGUUAAUAUUGAUGGUGCAACUUAUUUGUGGCACUGCCAUUUCGGUCAUAUUGGUGUAAAGCGCAUGAAGAAACUCCAUGCUGAUGGGCUUUUGGAAUCACUUGAUUAUGAAUCACUUGAUGCUUGCAAACCAUGCCUCAUGGGCAAGAUGACUAAGACUCCAUUCUCCGGAACAAUGGGGCGAGCAACUGACUUAUUGGUAAUAUUACAUUCUGAUGUAUGCGGUCCGAUGAGUGUUGAGGCUCGCGGUGUGUGUCGUUAUUUUCUGACCUUCACAGAUGAUUUGAGCAGAUAUGGGUAUAUCUACUUAAUGAAACAUAAGUCUAAAACAUUUGGAAAGUUCAAAGAAUUUCAGUGUGAAGUGGAAAAUCAUCGUAACAAGAAAAUAAAGUUUCUACGAUCUGAUCGUGGAGGUGAAUAUUUGAGUUAUGAGUUUGGUCUUCAUUUGUGACAAUGUGGAAUAGUUUCGCAACUCACGCCACCUAGAACACCAUAGCGUAAUGGUGUGUCCGAACGUCGUAACCGCACUUUAUUAGAUACGGUGCGAUCUAUGAUGUCUCUUACCGAUUUACCACUAUCAUUUUGGGGUUAUGCUUUAGAGACGACUGCAUUCACGUUAAAUAGGGCACCAUCCAAAUCUGUUGAGACGACACCAUAUGAACUGUGGUUUGACAAGAAACCUAAACUGUCGUUUCUUAAAGUUUGGGGCUGUGAUGCUUAUGUGAAAAAGCUUGAAUCUGAUAAGCUCAAACCCAAAUCGGAGAAGUGCAUCUUCAUAGGAUACCCAAAAGAAACUGCUGGGUACACCUUCUAUCACAGAUCCGAAGGCAUGACAUUUGUUGCUAAGAAUGGAUCCUUUCUAGAGAAGGAGUUUCUCUCGAAAGAAGUGAGUGGGAGGAAAGUAGAACUUGAGGAGGUAGUUGUACCUUCUCUCGAAUUGGAAAACGGUUCAUCACAGAAAUCAGUUCCAGUGAUGCCUACACCAAUUAGUGAGGAAGUUAAUGAUGAUGAUCAUGAAACUUCAUAUCAAGUUACUACCGAACCUCGUAGGUCAACCAGAGUACGGUCCGCACCAGAGUGGUACGGUAAUCCUGUUCUGGAAGUCAUGUUACUAGACCAUGACGAACCUACAAACUAUGAGGAAGCGAUGAUGAGCCCAGAUUCCGUGAAAUGGCUUGAGGCCAUGAAAUCUGAGAUGGGAUCCAUGUAUGAGAACAAAGUGUGGACUUUGGUUGACUUGCCCGAUGAUCGGCAAGCCAUAGUGAAUAAAUGGAUCUUCAAGAAGAAGACUGACGCUGACAGUAAUGUUACUGUCUACAAAGCUGGACUUGUUGCGAAAAGUUUUCGACAAGUUCGAGGAGUUGACUACGAUGAAAACUUCUUACCCGUAGUGAUGCUUAAUUCUGUCCGAAUCAUCUUAGCAAUUGCCGCAUUUUAUGAUUAUGAAAUUUGGCAAAUGGAUGUCAAAACUGCAUUCCUUAAUGGAUUUCUAAAGAAAAGUUGUAUAUGAUGCAACCAGAAGGUUUUGUCGAUCCUAAAGGUGCUAACAAAGUGUGCAAGCUCCAGCGAUCCGUUUAUGGAUGCAACAUCUCGGAGUUGGAAUAUAUGCUUUGAUAGUGUGAUCAAAGCAUAUGGUUUUAUACAGAUUUUGAAGAAGCCUGUAUUUACAAGAAAGUGAGUGGGAGCUCUGUAGCAUUUCUGAUAUUAUGAGUGGAUGACAUAUUGUGGAUUGGAAAUGAUAUAGAAUUUCUGGAUAGCAUAAAAGGAUACUUGAAUAAGAAUUUUUUAAUGAAAGACCUCGGUGAAGCUGCUUAUAUAUUGGGCAUUAAGAUCUAUAGAGAUAGAUCAAGACGCUUAAUUGGACUUUCACAAAGCAUAUACCUUGAUAAAGUUUUAANNNNNNNNNNNNNNNNNNNNNNNNNNNNNNNNNNNNNNNNNNNNNNNNNNNNNNNNNNNNNNNNNNNNNNNNNNNNNNNNNNNNNNNNNNNNNNNNNNNNUUAAGGAAACCAUUAAGGAAUGCCGUUUUGACGUCCAUUUGCCAUAUUUCGUAAUCAUAGAAUGCGGCAAUUGCUAACAUGAUUCGGACGGACUUCAGCUUCGCUACCGGUGAGAAAGUCUCAUCGUAGUCAACCCCUUGAACUUGUCGAUAACCCUUAGCGACAAGCCGAGCUUUAUAGAUGGUCACAUUACCAUCCGCGUCUGUCUUCUUCUUAAAGAUCCAUUUAUUUUCUAUGGCUCGCCGCUCAAUGGGCAAGUCAGUCAAAGUCCAUACUUUGUUUUCAUACAUGGAUCCUAUCUCGGAUUUCAUGGCUUCUAGCCAUUUGUCGGAAUCCGGGCCCGCCAUCGCUUCUUCAUAGUUCGAAGGUUCACCGUUGUCUAACAGCAUGAUUUCCAAGACAGGGUUGCCGUACCACUCUGGUGCGGAACGUGUCCUUGUGGACCUUCGAAUUUUAGUAGGGGCUUGAUCAGAAGUAUCUUGAUCAUUAACUUCCUCUCUAGUCGGUGCAGGCACCUCAGGAACAUUUUCUUGAGUUGCGCCAUUUUCCGGUUCAAGAGGUAAUACUUCAUCAAGCUCUACUUUCCUCCCACUUACUUCUUUCGAGAGAAACUCUUUCUCCAGAAAGGACCCAUUCUUGGCAACAAAGAUCUUGCCUUCGGAUCUGAGGUAGAAGGUGUACCAAUAGUUUCUUUUGGGUAUCCUAUGAAGACGCAUUUUUCCGACUUGGGUUCGAGCUUUUCAGGUUGAAGUUUCUUGACAUAAGCAUCACAUCCCCAAACUUUUAGAAACGACAGCUUAGGUUUCUUCCCAAACCAUAAUUCAUACGGUGUCGUCUCAACGGAUUUCGACGGAGCCCUAUUUAAAGUGAACGCGGCAGUCUCUAAAGCAUAGCCCCAAAAGGAUAGCGGUAAAUCGGUAAGAGACAUCAUAGAUCGCACCAUAUCUAAUAGAGUGCGAUUACGACGUUCGGACACACCAUUACGCUGAGGUGUUCCAGGCGGCGUGAGUUGUGAAACUAUUCCACAUUUUCUUAAGUGUGUGCCAAACUCGUGACUCAAGUAUUCUCCUCCAUGAUCUGAUCGUAGAAACUUGAUUUUCCUGUCACGUUGAUUUUCAACCUCACUCUGAAAUUCCUUGAACUUUUCAAAGGUUUCAGACUUGUGUUUCAUUAAGUAGAUAUACCCAUACCUACUCAAAUCAUCAGUGAGGGUGAGAACAUAACGAUAGCCACCAUGAGCCUCAACACUCAUCGGACCGCACACAUCAGUAUGUAUGAUUUCCAAUAAGUCGGUUGCUCGCUCCAUUGUUCCUGAGAACGGAGUCUUGGUCAUUUUACCCAUAAGGCAUGGUUCGCACGUGUCAAAUGAUUCAUAAUCAAGAGACUCUAAAAGUCCAUCAGCAUGGAGCUUCUUCAUGCGUUUGACACCUAUGUGACCAAGGCGGCAGUGCCACAAGUAUGUGGGACUAUCAUUAUCAACCUUACUUCUUUUGGUACUCACAUUAUGAACAUGUGUAGCAUCACGUUCGAGAUUCAUAAAGAAUAAACCAUUUACCAUAGGAGCAUGACCAUAAAACAUAUCUCUCAUAAAAAUGGAACAACCAUUAUUCUCAGAUUUAAAAGAGUAGCCAUCUCGAAUUAAACGAGAUCCCGAUACAAUGUUCAUGCUCAAAGCUGGCACUAAAUAACAAUUAUUAAGGUUUAAAACUAAUCUCGAAGGGAGAUGCAGAGGUAGCGUGCCGACGGCGAUCACAUUGACCUUGGAACCAUUCCCGACGCGCAUCGUCACCUCGUCCUUUGCCAGUUUCCGCUUAUUCCGCAGCCCCUUCUUUGAGUUACAAAUGUGAGCAACUGCACCGGUAUCAAAUACCCAGGAGCUACUACGGGCACUAGUAAGGUACACAUCAAUUACAUGUAUAUCACAUAUACCUUUUGUUUUGCCGGCCUUCUUAUCCGCUAAGUACUUAGGGCAGUUCCGCUUCCAGUGACCGCUUCCCUUGCAAUAAAAGCACUCAGUCUCGGGCUUGGGUCCAUUCUUUGGCUUCUUCCCGGCAGCUUGCUUGCCGGGCGCGGCAACCUCCUUGCCGUCCUUCUUGAAGUUCUUUUUACCCUUGCCUUUCUUGAACUUAGUGGUUUUAUUGACCAUCAACACUUGAUGUUCCUUCCUGACUUAUACCUCUGCUGAUUUCAGCAUAGCAAAUACUUCAGGAAUGGUCUUUUCCAUCCCCUGCAUAUUGAAGUUCAUCACAAAGCUCUUGUAGCUUGGUGGAAGCGACUGGAGGAUUCUGUCAAUGACCGCAUCAUCCGGGAGAUUAACUCCCAGCUGAGUCAAGCGGUUAUGCAACCCAGACAUAGUGAGUAUGUGCUCACUGACAGAACUGUUUUCCUCCAUCUUACAGCUGAAGAAUUUGUCGGAGACUUCAUAUCUCUNNNNNNNNNNNNNNNNNNNNNNNNNNNNNNNNNNNNNNNNNNNNNNNNNNNNNNNNNNNNNNNNNNNNNNNNNNNNNNNNNNNNNNNNNNNNNNNNNNNNACUUGUAGUUUGACUCGGAUUCUGCUGCAGCAUCAGAUUGUUUCGUCCACAACUCAACGCUCCGGACGAAUUUGAAGGUGAUUCCAAUUGGGUUGGAAAGUGCACGAAAUCUAGUUUCCAACAAAAAAAGAAUCACCCAAUUUGGAGUCCGUAUGAAAAACUUGUGUGCGUUUUGAGUCAGGUAUGUCUGUGCAGUCCGAAUCUGAAUCCAGAACGUGAGAGACUUGGACUCUAUCUUCUCUUGGGCCAAAAGUGACGUGAGAGAACUUUUUGGACAGCAAAUAAACAUCUCUUUCUUCCUUAUCUUCAUAUGUGGAUUGUACAAAUGUCCCAUACACCUGCAAUUAGACAAAACACAAAAGUGUGUGAAGUAUUUUUGUUCUGGAUAACACAAAUAGAUUAUUGAAUAGUUUGCACUAGAAAUCACCUGACAAAUAUGCAUAUAUGCAAUAUUUUUGGUCAUAUCCAAGGUAGUCAUGUCCUCAUCAGGAGCCGACCGUGGGGCACGUGAAGCAAGCCAAAUACCUCCACGGAGAGCACGUUGAGGCUGGCUCUGCCGUCGAUGAGGGUCUUGGUGACAACCAUGUUGCAGAUGGUGGGGGUGUAGAGCAUCGGGAGCGCGCCUGCUCCCGCAGCGGUAGUGGGGUGAUCUUCUAGGCCGAACGUAAGGUCGGCCUUGGGCGCCGCCUAGCCUGGAGGAGCCCCCGACUGCACUUGAGCGGCACUUACCUAGCGGUAGAAGUGCUUGAUGUGGCGGUCGGAGGGUGGCGCCUGCGAGCCACCCUAGGGAGCUGCAACGGCGGGAGGCGCCGGUGCCAUGAAGUGUGCGAUGAAGAGGCCGCACAGCUCCUCCCAGGAGGCCACGGAAGGCUCCGGCAAGUUGAGCAGCCAGGCGUGUGGCACGCCCAUGAGAGCCAUGGGGAGCCAGUUGGCCAUCACCUUGUCAUCCCCAUCGGCUGCCCAAACUGACUCCUCGUAUGCCUGGAGGAAGCCAUUCAGACCCGCUUCACCAUCGUAGCGGGGAAGCAUCUCCGGCCUGAACUUGGGCAGCCACUCCACCUGCCGCAAGGCGGGGGUGAAAGCGCGGAGGCCCAUGGCUCCCUCGAAGGUGCGUGAUGACGUAAUCGACGAAGGAGAGCUUGUCAUCCAGUGGCAGGAUGUGACGAAUGAAGCGGCGGAUCUCCGACGCACCCCUACAUGGUGUGCCAAAUGUCAGAUUUCAGGUUCCGCAAACCCUUGAGAGGUUCAAACUCUCGGGUGCUUGUGGAGAUCUCAACCUGCCUAGCCUGCUAACUCGUGAAACCUCACAGCCUAGCGCGUCGAGCUCGAAGGAAAAGAAAGACAUGAUAGUUUAACCAGUUUUGGGACACCUUGCGAUGUAAAACCCUACUCCUGCUUUGUGGUGGAUUUGCCUUGAGGGGCUGAGGAAGAACUAGUAAAGUAGGAGAACAACCUCAGGAGGUCUGUUCUUGAGCUCGGGUGAGCUGGUGAGGGUGGAAUGGAUUCUAUCCUACACCUCUCUCUUUUGUGGAUUCGACCCUCCCUCCAUGGUGGUGGCUAGGUCCUAUUUAUAGUAGCCUUGGUCCUCUUCCCAAAUGUUGGCAGGAAGGGAUCCCACAACGGCUAAAUUUGAAGGGAGACAACAAGUACAUCCUAUCUUGACUAAAGUGGUCUUCGCCAACAAAAAGCCUCUGGUCAUGACGUUGUGGUGGGCUCGGCGAUGACCUCUGUCCUGCCGUCCUGGCGGUCUUGGUCUUGUUGCAACAAGAUGGAAACCUUUGGUUGAUUCCUUGGGACUCCGCGCCUAUUCCUUGCCUCCUUUGCACCAAAGAGGAAACUGGUACUCUGCGCCCGCUUGCGCCCGCCUGGCACCCGCCUGGCCUUGGUCGUCAUGCCUCACAUCAGCUGAGCCUCACGAGGUGCCCCUUGCAUAGAAAUAUCCGCUCCUCAGGAGCCAGCUUGCGGAGGCCUACCCCCUCAGAGGUCUUGAUGUCAUCCGCUCACGAGGCUUGGCCCCUCGCGAGGGUCUUGGGUUGUUGAUGCUGAAGCUGGGUCGUACCAGGCCGUCGAUGGAGACAUGCAGUGGGCCACAGGCAGGCAAGUCUGGGUACCCCCGUAUGCAGAACACCGACAGGAUCAACCUAGCUGCAUAGCUUUAAGAUCCUAAGCUACACCAUAGCUAAAUCAACCAAUGUCAGGCAUUCUAGCUCAAGAUCAGGAAAGAGCUUUGUUCCCUCCCGCCUGCUGGCUAGAGUUAUACCAUCCACUCUUUCUGCUGACUGUGAAGUAGCAUAAAACCCUCUAUCGCGGCUGUUUGUUUACCGUUGUACGAAAGUCUAUCGAUUCAAGAAUGUGCAAAUCCCUUGGGUUCUUUGCCGAGGUUAGCCUAGCAUUGGAAUCCCUGGUGGAUAGCCUUGCUUUGAAGAUGAGNNNNNNNNNNNNNNNNNNNNNNNNNNNNNNNNNNNNNNNNNNNNNNNNNNNNNNNNNNNNNNNNNNNNNNNNNNNNNNNNNNNNNNNNNNNNNNNNNNNNACUUGUAGUUUGACUCGGAUUCUGCUGCAGCAUCAGAUUGUUUCGUCCACAACUCAACGCUCCGGACGAAUUUGAAGGUGAUUCCAAUUGGGUUGGAAAGUGCACGAAAUCUAGUUUCCAACAAAAAAAGAAUCACCCAAUUUGGAGUCCGUAUGAAAAACUUGUGUGCGUUUUGAGUCAGGUAUGUCUGUGCAGUCCGAAUCUGAAUCCAGAACGUGAGAGACUUGGACUCUAUCUUCUCUUGGGCCAAAAGUGACGUGAGAGAACUUUUUGGACAGCAAAUAAACAUCUCUUUCUUCCUUAUCUUCAUAUGUGGAUUGUACAAAUGUCCCAUACACCUGCAAUUAGACAAAACACAAAAGUGUGUGAAGUAUUUUUGUUCUGGAUAACACAAAUAGAUUAUUGAAUAGUUUGCACUAGAAAUCACCUGACAAAUAUGCAUAUAUGCAAUAUUUUUGGUCAUAUCCAAGGUAGUCAUGUCCUCAUCAGGAGCCGACCGUGGGGCACGUGAAGCAAGCCAAAUACCUCCACGGAGAGCACGUUGAGGCUGGCUCUGCCGUCGAUGAGGGUCUUGGUGACAACCAUGUUGCAGAUGGUGGGGGUGUAGAGCAUCGGGAGCGCGCCUGCUCCCGCAGCGGUAGUGGGGUGAUCUUCUAGGCCGAACGUAAGGUCGGCCUUGGGCGCCGCCUAGCCUGGAGGAGCCCCCGACUGCACUUGAGCGGCACUUACCUAGCGGUAGAAGUGCUUGAUGUGGCGGUCGGAGGGUGGCGCCUGCGAGCCACCCUAGGGAGCUGCAACAGCGGGAGGCGCCGGUGCCAUGAAGUGUGCGAUGAAGAGGCCGCACAGCUCCUCCCAGGAGGCCACGGAAGGCUCCGGCAAGUUGAGCAGCCAGGCGUGUGGCACGCCCAUGAGAGCCAUGGGGAGCCAGUUGGCCAUCACCUUGUCAUCCCCGUCGGCUGCCCAAACUGACUCCUCGUAUGCCUGGAGGAAGCCAUUCAGACCCGCUUCACCAUCGUAGCGGGGAAGCAUCUCCGGCCUGAACUUGGGCAGCCACUCCACCUGCCGCAAGGCGGGGGUGAAAGCGCGGAGGCCCAUGGCUCCCUCGAAGGUGCGUGAUGACGUAAUCGACGAAGGAGAGCUUGUCAUCCAGUGGCAGGAUGUGACGAAUGAAGCGGCGGAUCUCCGACGCACCCCUACAUGGUGUGCCAAAUGUCAGAUUUCAGGUUCCGCAAACCCUUGAGAGGUUCAAACUCUCGGGUGCUUGUGGAGAUCUCAACCUGCCUAGCCUGCUAACUCGUGAAACCUCACAGCCUAGCGCGUCGAGCUCGAAGGAAAAGAAAGACAUGAUAGUUUAACCAGUUUUGGGACACCUUGCGAUGUAAAACCCUACUCCUGCUUUGUGGUGGAUUUGCCUUGAGGGGCUGAGGAAGAACUAGUAAAGUAGGAGAACAACCUCAGGAGGUCUGUUCUUGAGCUCGGGUGAGCUGGUGAGGGUGGAAUGGAUUCUAUCCUACACCUCUCUCUUUUGUGGAUUCGACCCUCCCUCCAUGGUGGUGGCUAGGUCCUAUUUAUAGUAGCCUUGGUCCUCUUCCCAAAUGUUGGCAGGAAGGGAUCCCACAACGGCUAAAUUUGAAGGGAGACAACAAGUACAUCCUAUCUUGACUAAAGUGGUCUUCGCCAACAAAAAGCCUCUGGUCAUGACGUUGUGGUGGGCUCGGCGAUGACCUCUGUCCUGCCGUCCUGGCGGUCUUGGUCUUGUUGCAACAAGAUGGAAACCUUUGGUUGAUUCCUUGGGACUCCGCGCCUAUUCCUUGCCUCCUUUGCACCAAAGAGGAAACUGGUACUCUGCGCCCGCUUGCGCCCGCCUGGCACCCGCCUGGCCUUGGUCGUCAUGCCUCACAUCAGCUGAGCCUCACGAGGUGCCCCUUGCAUAGAAAUAUCCGCUCCUCAGGAGCCAGCUUGCGGAGGCCUACCCCCUCAGAGGUCUUGAUGUCAUCCGCUCACGAGGCUUGGCCCCUCGCGAGGGUCUUGGGUUGUUGAUGCUGAAGCUGGGUCGUACCAGGCCGUCGAUGGAGACAUGCAGUGGGCCACAGGCAGGCAAGUCUGGGUACCCCCGUAUGCAGAACACCGACAGGAUCAACCUAGCUGCAUAGCUUUAAGAUCCUAAGCUACACCAUAGCUAAAUCAACCAAUGUCAGGCAUUCUAGCUCAAGAUCAGGAAAGAGCUUUGUUCCCUCCCGCCUGCUGGCUAGAGUUAUACCAUCCACUCUUUCUGCUGACUGUGAAGUAGCAUAAAACCCUCUAUCGCGGCUGUUUGUUUACCGUUGUACGAAAGUCUAUCGAUUCAAGAAUGUGCAAAUCCCUUGGGUUCUUUGCCGAGGUUAGCCUAGCAUUGGAAUCCCUGGUGGAUAGCCUUGCUUUGAAGAUGAGNNNNNNNNNNNNNNNNNNNNNNNNNNNNNNNNNNNNNNNNNNNNNNNNNNNNNNNNNNNNNNNNNNNNNNNNNNNNNNNNNNNNNNNNNNNNNNNNNNNNUUCGGGGCUGACCUCGUCAAAGUUAGGGAGGUGUUCCGCUCUCAUGUCAAGUUUGUGGUCAAUGACGGGGCUUCGCCCCGUUUCUGGUUGGACUGGGAUGCCCCCCUUGCGUCCUCCUUCCCAGUUCUGUUCUCGUACUGCUCCAAUCCCGAGACUUCAAUCUCUGAACUCUCGCAUAAUGGUUGGGACCUGGGAUUUCGGAGGUCCCUCUCUCCUGUAGAGUUGGGCGACUGGCAUCGCCUUGUUGCUAUGUUCCCUGCGCUCUCGGAGGAGGCGGACUCUGUUUCUUGGCCCCACACCGUGUCUGGGAAGUUUACGGUCAAGUCCCUUUAUAACCGUAUUAUCUCUGGUUCCACUACCUCAAAGUUCAAGCGAAUCUGGACGGCUAGGGUUCCCCCUAAGAUCAAGAUAUUCCUUUGGCAGGCCUUCAGGGCCCGGCUGCCCUUGGCCGACCAGAUUCAGAAAAGGAAUGGGCCAGGCUCUGCCCAUUGUGCUAUGUGUUUUUCUCUCGAAGACACUAACCAUAUUUUCUAAUAGUGCGACUUAGCUAUGUUGGUUUGGGGUUGUGUUCGAUCAUGGUACUCUACCUCUUGGGCUCCUGGUUCCUUUGCUGAUGUUCGGAUUUUGACGGCCGGCCUGAGUGGUCGGUCCAGGAACCUAUUUUGGACUGGGUUGGGCGCCCUCUGUUGGGCCCUAUGGACCAUUCGGAACAAGUUUACUAUUGAGGGUGUCUUCCCAAACAAACCUGCUGAUGUCCUGUUUAAAGUGUCUAUACUCUUGCAGCAGUGGAAUUUAUUGACUAAAUCGGCGGAUCGUGAAGGCCUGGAGAUGCUGAUCGACAGAGUGCGGGCGUCUGCCAAUUUGCUAUCUUCUCCAGCCGAUGGCGCUUCAUCGUAGCUGCCUUCCCUUUUGUUGCGUAGGUGGUGGCCUGCGUGCCCCUUUAUCUUAUUUGGGCCUGCGUGCCGACCAAACUGUUGCCUUCCUAGCUGCUCUGCGUGGGUGUUGUUGUGAGACUUUGGUUCUGGUGUCGUACUCUGCUGGUUAUGUACUCUCUCCGUAUGGCUUUAUCUAUAAAGUCGGGCAAUCGCCUUUUCUCUAAAAAAAAAUAUUUCCAUGCAGUGGCUGCUGGAACGUCUGUGUGUGCCUCCUUCUCAAAUCUGCUGGAGUGUCCUGUGAGCACUGAUGCUACAAAAAGAGAAGACAUGUAUGAGUUUGGAGAAAGUGCCAAUUUGUUUUUUUUUAGUUGCUAGCUGUGAUUUAUUGUUUCAAUUUGGAUUCCAAAAAAUGUUAAUGUCAGUUACUAUGACCCAACUUUAUCUGUACCGUUGCAUGCUACUAUCAGUUAUUUUUUAACAUCAAAUUCAGUCUGUAUCUUGCCUUCUUUUCUGUUCAAAAUUUCCCAAACUCUGAAUAAAUAAAAUUAUUUGGAAAGAAGCACAUGAGUAUCGUUUAGUAUUCACUCAGAUGAAUAUGAUCGAAUAUAUUCUCGAAACGGUUGCGUGGAUUUCAACUUACAUGCACAGUUGCAAUGUGUCACAAGAUUCACAAGCAUGCAUUGCAGCUAGCGAGUCCGAAGUCCUGACCAUAAAUCACUGGUGACACUACCAUCACAACUACUGUAUAUAGUUCGAAUUGCCUACCAUGUACAGGUAUCCUGUAGCUAAGAGAGAUGGUGGAGAAUCAACAAUUUCGCAGAUGUAGAUAUCGCUACUGCUUUUGAGCAGGCUCUCCGGUCCAGUAAGACAGCAACAAGGAUCUUCUCAGGAUUGAAUGCCCCAGAUUCAUGAUCCCUUAUUUUGGCUCUUCCAUCUCAUGCCUUUAGUGAUGGACUGCAUCUUCACUAACAUCUCCAUCGUACCCCUGAAUAUCAUACCCGCGACAUCCGCCCCAGAGUCCUUCUGAAGUCGGAAUCCCUUAUCCCUCAACUCAUUUCAAUCAUGUCUUCUGUAUUGAGGAGAAAAUAACUAAAGAUAUGGCAAGGUUUUUCUGUACUGAUCAAAUGCGCCUGUCCAGAUGUAUUUGUUUCCUGCUGCAUUUACAUGCUUUGCAUUUUGGUUGCUAUAAGAACGUUCGGAUUAGGUAAUUAGCUGUUUCCUUGGUAUUGUUCGACUUCUACAAAGAUCUCAGACAAGAUCUGCCUCUGCAUGUAUCCACUUUAGGCCUUUCUGUUCAGUCUUCAUCGCCAAGCUACAGGAUAACUAUGUAUAGUGCCAUUGUCUAUUUUGUGGUCUGUACUCAGUUAGCUGCAUUUCUUGUGAGUUGCGACACUUAACACAGUGUGAUGGUGUCUGAGAUGAUCUUCAGUGAACUGUUUUGAAAUGGUAUGCCGUAGUUUGAGGAGGCAACAUCUCUGUCUGUUCCCAAGUUGACCUGACGCCUGAAACCUUUAGCUACAGGAAAGUAUUCAGAGUUGAGAAAGCAGAGAAAAAANNNNNNNNNNNNNNNNNNNNNNNNNNNNNNNNNNNNNNNNNNNNNNNNNNNNNNNNNNNNNNNNNNNNNNNNNNNNNNNNNNNNNNNNNNNNNNNNNNNNGUGCACCCAUUGAAUUAACUAUUGAUGCAAAAGAACCAAUGUUUAAUCAUUUUGAUAUGACCUCUAAUCUUGGUGAUGAUUCUGUGUUGAAUGACUUAUUGCAUGUUUGCUUAUUUAAGCAUGUUGUAGCAUGUAAAUUUGAUGCAAGUAAGGUUUAUUCACCAAUGUUGGGAUGGUUUAAUGAUGAACAUUGUCAAUCUUUUGAAAUGAAUAAGAGCUUCACUUAUAUGUGCAAACUGAGUUGCAAUAUUUUCAUGCCUUCUACUUCUUGUGCUAAUUUUUUGGCUUUAGAUUUUAUGAACUAUGCAAGUUACUCAUCUAUUCAAGUGUCAUAUAUGCAAAAAUCAAGGGAAGUAAAAAUGGAUGACAUAUACAUAUACAACAUGUACACCUUGUCUCUUUUGUUAGCCACAUUUCAGAUUAAGCAACACCGAGGACGGCUUUAUUUUCAAGAAGGGGAGGAUGAUGAGGACAUGAAAACCUUGGAUAUGACCAAAAAUAUUGCAUAUAUGCAUAUUUGUCAGGUGAUUUCUAGUGCAAACUAUUCAAUAAUCUAUUUAUGUUAUCCAGAACAAAAAUACUUCACACACUUUUGUGUUUUGUCUAAUUGCAGGUGUAUGGGACAUUUGUACAAUCCACAUAUGAAGAUAAGGAAGAAAGAGAUGUUUAUUUGCUGUCCAAAAAGUUCUCUCACGUCACUUUUGGCCCAAGAGAAGAUAGAGUCCAAGUCUCUCACGUUCUGGAUUCAGAUUCGGACUGCACAGACACACCUGACUCAAAACGCACACAAGUUUUUCAUACGGACUCCGAAUUGGGUGAUUCUUUUUUUGUUGGAAACUAGAUUUCGUGCACUUUCCAACCCAAUUGGAAUCACCUUCAAAUGCGUCCGGAGCGUUGAGUUGUGGACGAAACAAUCUGAUGCUGCAGCAGAAUCCGAGUCAAACUACAAGUCCAAAGGUGUUACAUCACCUCCACUUGGGCCCAUUGGCCUUGUACGACCUAGAUUUAGUUUUAGGCUGCCUUGGGACGUCCUCCCACAUCCUUGGCCGCCAUCCCUUGCUCCUAUAUAAGUAGAUCCAUCUAGUAGCUUUUCCUUGGGAUUUGUUUAGUUAAAAGUUAGCCAUUGCAACUUCGUGUACUUCGUUUGUGUCCAACGACCAGACCAAGACCGCUUCCGGAUCCCCACCAUUAUCAAUAUCUCAUAUAUAUUUGCAAUAUUCAGAUUGCUUUUAUCAUAUUCUUGCUCGUUCUUCGAUUGCUUGCAGGAAUAGACCUUCGUGGUCAGGUUGAUCGUGCUUCGGCGUGGUCAAUAACCUCAGGAGAUUGGUUUAGCGAUUGCUAAGGCGCAACGUCGUGCAUGUUUGUAGUCGGAUCGUCAAAGUCGUCUCCACCAAAUCGAUAGUUAUCAUCUCAUCGAAAGAUCGGGACACCCUCGCCUCUAUCAAGUUGACACAUGCUCCUUUACUCCAACUUCCUGAUUUUAAUAAGACUUUUGAGCUUGAAUGUGAUGCUAGUGGAAUUGGAUUAGGAGAUGUGUUAUUACAAGAUGGCAAACCUGUUGCAUACUUUUCUGAAAAAUUGAGUGGGCCUAGUCUGAAUUAUUCUACUUAUGAUAAAGAAUUAUAUGCUCUUGUUCGGACUUUAGAAACAUGGCAACAUUAUUUAUGGCCCAAAGAAUUUGUUAUACAUUCUGAUCAUGAAUCUUUGAAACAUAUUAAAAGUCAAGCUAAACUGAAUCGUAGACAUGCUAAAUGGGUUGAAUUCAUUGAGACUUUCCCUUAUGUCAUUAAACACCAGAAGGGAAAAGAAAAUGUUAUUGCUGAUGCAUUGUCUCAUCGCUAUACUAUGCUUUCACAACUUGACUUCAAAAUAUUUGGUUUGGAGACCAUCAAAGAUCAAUAUGUGCAUGAUGCUGAUUUUAAAGAUGUAAUGCAGAAUUGUAAAGAAGGAAGAAUAUGGAACAAGUUUGUUGUUAACGAUGGAUUUGUGUUUCGUGCUAACAAGCUAUGCAUUCCAGCUAGCUCCGUUCAUCUUUUGUUGUUGCAGGAGGCGCAUGGAGGAGGAUUAAUGGGACACUUUGGCGUGAAGAAGAUGGAGGACGUACUUGCUACACAUUUCUUUUGGCCAAAGAUGAGACGGGAUGUUGAGCGUUUUAUUGCUCGCUGCACUACAUGUCAAAAAGCUAAGUCACGACUCAAUCCUCAUGGUUUAUAUAUGCCUUUGCCUGUACCUAGUGUUCCUUGGGAGGAUAUAUCUAUGGACUUUGUUUUAGGUUUACCUCGAACAAAGAAGGGGAGGGAUAGCAUAUUUGUUGUCGUGGAUAGAUUCUCGAAAAUGGCACACUUUAUACCAUGUCAUAAAAGCGAUGAUGCUGUUAAUGUUGCUGAUUUGUUCUUUCGUGAAAUUAUUCGCUUGCAUGGUGUGCCAAAUNNNNNNNNNNNNNNNNNNNNNNNNNNNNNNNNNNNNNNNNNNNNNNNNNNNNNNNNNNNNNNNNNNNNNNNNNNNNNNNNNNNNNNNNNNNNNNNNNNNNAAACUUUGAGGUGCACAGCCUCGCCAAACACACUUUGGGACUCUCUCCGGGACGCCAUCUCUGGCUACUUAAUACCCCGGAUUUAUCUUGUAUUCCUAUGUAUUUGGAUAUUGAUCAAUAAAUGCGAGUGUGUAUGGACUAAAAAAAAAGAAGAAAUCAAUUAAGCAGCCUGCUUGUGUGCUUCCAUGUGUAUGUGUAGUUGCCAACGAGUUAAUCUAGCGUUCUAAAUCCAACAUUGGUAUCUAGAGCCUCGACGAUCUACGAUCAAUGAUGGGGGACAGCGAUCAGGAGUCGGUCAAGUCCGGCGACACUAUAAGAAUGGCAACAAGGUGAAGAAGGGCGGCAAGUCAGCAACCAGUGGUGGAGGACGGGCGGUGCCAACGUACUGGUGCAUCACAACAUCCUCAUCCAGUACCCGACGCUUACCGACGCCAACUACAACGUGCGAAGGACUGUUCGGAGCCUAACAAGCGGGAGAUCAAGAAAAAUUUGGCGAAGCAGGAAGACGAACAUCCAUGUCUUCUAGUGGCCGAAGUUUGUGAUCUCGUCCAAAGAUUGGUUGUCAAACCAAACCGAUAGGUGCUACUUCAUGAGAAAAAAGUAAUGCCGAAGUUAUCCGGGAGCCAGAACGUGUCAUGGUGUUGGCUCAAGAGUGAUGAUGAUUCAUGGUUAUGGCAUGCUAGAUUUGGACAUGUUAACUUCUACGCCUUGAGGAAGAUGUCGAAGAUGGACAUGGUAUCUGAGAUGCCAUUUAUCGACCAUGUUGAUCGAGUAUGUGACGGGUUCUUGGUUGGAAAACAACACCGUAGGCCGUUCCCUGCUCGGUCUACCUAUCGUGCAAGUGAUGCAAUCGAGCAGCUCCAUGGUGAUCUAUGUGGCCCUAUCACCCCAGCAUAUCACAGAGAAAAUAAGUACUUCUUCCUUGUGGUAGAUGACUACUCGAGAUACAUCUCCUACGAUCUAAAGAUGGCUCGUUUGAAGCGUUCAAGAAGCUGAAGGUUCGCGCUCGGACAGAUCGCGGUGAAAAGUUUACGUGGACGAGUAUCCGGAUGACCCAUAAUACUAGACGUAAAGAGCCAUGGUCGUGGUACUACCUGUAGCGGAUGACCCGCAACUACCAGUCGGACCGCCACUACAACAAAAUUGACAUACUGUGACGAAAAUCCUCGUGACGAUGGUGGACAAUGUCACAUAAAUUCCUAAUGUAUGAUGUUGUCAUAGGUGGCGUCACCAAUUACUGCAAAUCGGUGACGAUAGCGUCACCGAAUUGCCUCGACCUUUCAGCACAUCUGGCUCCCAAUUUUUGUGACAUCUUCGUAAUUUCCAUGACGAGCCCGCUAGAGUCACCGAGUACUAUGAAUGUGUGAAGAUCAUUUUUGUCAUGUUACGUAUAGUAGUCAGACCCACCAUAGCUAGUUCUUGGGUUAUUGAGUGAUUGGGUCCAUGCGUCAGUGUUGGCAGUGAGAUUGCCAUAGUUUUUUCAAAGGCUAGCGAGCGUUGUAAUUUUUCUUGAUAUAAUACAAAUAGGCAAUGGCCAUGGAAAUACUAAUAAUCAUUAUUAUUUAUAAAGGUAAAACUUAUUUUCUUCUUUCUAAUAUAAAUAGGUAGUGGUUGGGCUAAAAACUCAAAGUGAGCGUCCGUGAACUGAUGUUGUUUAUCUCGAAUAUAAAAAUGAAAAUAGGAGCCAAGAGGAAAUGAGUGAACAUUACUUUCAUGUUGUAUAAUAUAAUAAAUAGUUAGUGCGUAUGCAAAAAAACUUUCAAUGGCGCACUCGUGAGCUAAUGUUGUUACAUUUCUAUCUCAAAAGUUAAAAAGGAAAUAUGAGAGUUGAUUGGAUUUUUUUAAUUCUUAUCACCUACCUUUUAAAACGAUGGCACGCUAAGAAUUCACAACCACGGAGAAAAAACAAAACAAAAAUCAGCUUCGUGCGUGGGUCGGCCCAUUUGGCGCUAGGUCUCACACCACGCCGUGUGCCUCCAUAUAAAACACUAGCCCAAAAAAAAUCCCCAAAUACACCUGUACAUUCGCACCUAACUCAAAUCUCAUCUCACCGGCGGCGCCUGCAAAUCACUCGCCGCCAGUCGCGCCACCCGAAUUCGUUCCCCGUUGCUGCCCUCUAGUCUGCCGCCCCACCCUCUAUGUCCGGUUCCCCAUCCCCAGCCACCACUACACCGACGCCGACCUGCCCCAUUUGCCGCCUGGUCCGACCUCCAUGCCGCCUCCACCGUCAAUGGCUUGCCGACCAUCACCAACUCCAUCUCCGACGCCUUCACCAGCUUCGUUUCUCACCUCGUGCCUCACCAAGAUCUGGACGCUGCCUCACCACCCCUUCCUCACCCACUACUUGAGAUGUAUAUGGUGAUUUAGAAGAUUGGUUUCGUCCAGUGACCAACAAGACGGCGGCGGCGGGAGACACCAGGAUUGGGAGAGNNNNNNNNNNNNNNNNNNNNNNNNNNNNNNNNNNNNNNNNNNNNNNNNNNNNNNNNNNNNNNNNNNNNNNNNNNNNNNNNNNNNNNNNNNNNNNNNNNNNCAUAGUUGGAAUAUUUCCAACAUGAAACAUUUUAGUUUGGAGAUAUUUGAGCAUUUAAAUAUUUUAUAUUAUUUUAAAUGCCCAAAUUCAAAUAUCUAUGAUUUAAUUCAAAAACCCUAAGAUGGCCUAGAAAAAUGUGCACCACUUUUGUCAGAGGUUCUGAACCAAGGCUAAAAUGAUGGACAUUUUAGAAGGGCAUUUCAGGUUCAUUGAAAGAUUAUUUUAGUAACCCUAGUUGGUUUCAGAGGGGACUGGGGGUUCUGUCAUCCCCAUUUCAAGUUUCUGAUGAAAAGUAAACAUGAUGCAACACUCUAAUGCAUGACUAGCUAGGGUGUGACAACUCACCCCCACUCAAAAGAAUCUCGUCCCGAGAUUUGGGUUCCUCCGAGAAGAAGGCGGGAUAUUCAAGUCGAAGACGAUCCUCCCUUUCCCAAGUUGCUUCAUCUUCAGAAUGGUGCGACCAUUGAACCUUGAGAAACUUGAUAUUAUGAGGUCGCGUGGUACGUUCGGCUUGAUCGAGGAUACGAAUGGGGUACUCUCGAUAUGUAAGAUUAUCUUGGAGAUCAAGCGUUUCGUGGUCCACUUCACGGAUAGGAUCCAAGAAGCAACGCCUCAGUUGAGAAACGUGGAAGACAUCGUGAACUCUGGAGAGGUGCGGAGGUAGUUCCAAUUGGUAGGCAACUUCUCCUCGUUUGGCAAGAAUGCGAAAAGGUCCAAUGUAACGAGGAGCCAAUUUGCCUUUGAUACCGAAACGUUGGGUUCCCUUCAGAGGGGUGACCCGAAGAUAAGCCUUCUCGUCAACCGCGAAAGUCAUAGCCUUAUGUUUUCGGUCAUAUUGACUCUUUUGACGGGAUUGGGCUGUUUUCAACUUUUCACGAACGAUACGAACUUGUUCUUCUGCUUCUUGAAUCAUAUCCGGGCCAAAGAAUUGUCUUUCCCCGGUCUCUGACCAGUUAAGGGGUGUUCGACAUCGUCGUCCAUAGAGAACUUCAAAAGGGGCUUUACCCAAGCUAGAUUGAUAGCUGUUGUUGUAAGCGAAUUCGGCAAAUGGAAGGCACUUCUCCCAGUCCAUUCCGAAUGAGAUUACAGAGGCUCGAAGCAUGUCUUCUAGAAUCUGAUUGACGCGUUCCACUUGACCACUCGACUGAGGGUGGAAAGCGGUGCUAAAGGAGAGACGGGUUCCCAUAGCAUUUUGGAAACUUUCCCAAAAUCGAGAGGUGAAAAGACUUCCUCGAUCCGAAUUGAUUUCCAAAGGAACACCAUGAAGGGACACUAUUCGGGAGAUGUAUAAGUCUGCCAGCUGGCUAGCGGUUAUACUCUCACGAACAGGUAAGAAAUGAGCUACUUUGGAAAGACGAUCGACCACGACGAAGAUAGCAUUAUUCCCUCUUUUGGUCCUGGGAAAGUCGGUAAUGAAAUCCAUACCAAUUUUAUCCCAUUUCCAUUCAGGAAUAGCUAAGGGUUGAAGGGUGCCAGCAGACCGUUGAUGCUCUGCUUUUACACGACGGCAGACGUCGCAAUUGGCAAUAUACUGAGCAAUUUCUCUCUUCAUCCUAGUCCACCAGAACCUCUGGCGUAGGUCCUGAUACAUUUUAGUACUACCGGGAUGAAUGGUGAGAGGAGAUUCAUGGGCCUCCUUAAGGAUCAGCUGCCGUAGAUGCUGGUUCUUGGGAACCACUAGACGGUUCUCAAAAUACACAACACCAUGAUCAUUAGUGGAGAAACAACUAGCACCUCCGCUAGCAAUGUUCUCUUUGAUUUUAGAGAUUCCCUUAUCUCGCUUUUGGGCAGCGAUGAUUUGAUCCGUAAGUGUAGGUUUUGCCACCAAGGUGGAAAGAAAACCUUGAGGUACAAUGUGAAGGUUAAGCUUCCGAAAUUCCUCAUGGAGAAGCGGUUGACUUUGUUGUAACAUCAGGAUGUUACAAUAAGAUUUACGACUUAGCGCAUCAGCCAUGACGUUGGCUUUCCCUGGGGUGUAGGUUAUUCCUAAGUCGAAGUCUGUGAUCAAUUCAACCCAACGUCUUUGCCUGAGAUUCAGAUCCGGUUGGGUGAAGAUGUACUUCAGGCUUUGGUGAUCAGUGAAUAUUUCGCAACGAUUACCGAGGAGGUAAUGUCGCCAGGUCUUAAGUGCAUAGACUACGGCUGCAAGUUCUAGAUCAUGGGUAGGAUAAUUCUCCUCAUGUGGGUGCAAUUGCCGUGAAGCGUAGGCAAUUACGUGUCGAUCUUGCAUGAGAAUGCAACCUAGUCCUUGUCGCGAGGCGUCGCAGUAGAUAACAAAGUCUUUGGAGAAGUCUGGCGGUACCAGCACGGGAGCAGAAGUCAGGCGUCUUUUCAGUUCCUGAAAACUGUGCUCACAUUGUGGAGUCCAUUCGAACUUCUUAUCUUUCUUGAGGAGUUCGGUUAGAGGUUUAGCAACUUUGGAGAAGUUCUNNNNNNNNNNNNNNNNNNNNNNNNNNNNNNNNNNNNNNNNNNNNNNNNNNNNNNNNNNNNNNNNNNNNNNNNNNNNNNNNNNNNNNNNNNNNNNNNNNNNUUACUAGGCAAAAGUUACUCACAAGAGGAAUGCAGACAUCGACAUGUGCAGUGGCAUUUGCUUUAUUCAACAUUUUGGUAAGAGAAAAUGUAGAUCUAAUAAUUUGGAGAAUGUGGAGGGCAGGGAAGAUAAGAUGCAGAGUAAUGCUAGAUAAUCAAUUAUCUUGCAAUGCAAGUACAGUAAUACUACCACCAUCCGUUAUUACUUGUCGCUGAAAUGGACGUAUCUAGUACUAUGAAGUUCUAAAUACAUCCAAUUAAGCAACAAUUAAUUCGAUACAGAGGGAGUACAUGAAAACAGGUACUUACAUGAGCAAUCCAAAACUUCAUAACCAUUGUGUCAAUUCUAUAUUUAUCUAAUAGUAAAUAUAGAUCUUAUAAUGUCGAGCAAAGGGAGGAUAAAGAAGCGAACAUUUACAGUGAUGCUACAUAAUCAAACAACAAUGAGUGUAAGUAUGCUAACAAAGGGCAAGAGAUACUGACAAGAUGCCUAGUAUUGUUGUGAGAUCCUAUGAUCCUUUGAGAAAGGAUAUUCAUCUGAAAUUAGUUUUCAUACAAGAGAGAAGGUAAGGCACACGCAGAAAUUUAGGAGUUCAAAUUUUGAAUUGAUAUCAUAGACAGUACCUGACGCUGGGCUCUCUGCAAUUUUAAUAGGGGUUUGGCCAGUGGAGUAGGGGUAAAGUGGGGUACAGUUGGACCUGUGUUUUCUGUGGCUACUGAUCUAUCUGAUUUAAGAGGUAUCACUACCUUUUCCAAAUACCUAGUUUGUACUCCUUGAGGAUCUGCACUCACCCUCUUCCUUUUGGACAUUUAUUACGAAAGAAUAACAUUUGACUGGAAAUAAAAUAAUAUGAUGACAAAUGGAAUAGGUACAAAAAAUGGAUAGGUAUGGCAUAUACUCAUAUAUGAUGCUUAAACCGGGCAGAUGGUGGUGUAACAAAGUAGAAGUAAUGCAAGAGGUCAUAUGCAAAAUAUGUGCGACUAAUACAACCUUGCCAAGUUAGAGCAAUCACCUUGAUGGGUGAAUAAGAUAGGCCAUCCUCCACCAUGCCAGAUUUGUUAGCCAGUGGAUCAUUCCGCAAUAUUCCUCUCGUGCACCCAUUGUCAUAUUCAUUUUGAUCAUGUUCAAUACCUGACAUGCAUGAAAACAUAAAAACAAGUGAAAUUUUCUUUGUAAUGCAGAAGUGUUUCUAAUCUAAUACUGCCUCCCUGUAAACCCCUUUGUGCUAUCUCUGCAAUUCUUCUGAGAGAUGCCAUGCAUGUUGUAAUUUGGUGUGUGCAUUAAUAUAAUGUGGCCUACUACUCAAAAUAUGAGAGCUCCAGAAGUGACGAUACUUCGUAGAUGACAACUUCAACAUAUAGUAAAGAAGAACAAGUCGACCUGACACUUGUACGCAUUGGUGCUAUACAAACGGUUUUAAACCCCUUUCCACGAUGGCAUUUGGAACCAUAGCCUAGUGAGUGUGGGCGAUUAAGGGGUCCUUCCCACAUGACCCAGAAACCAUCGGGGAUAUGCCCUCCUGGCACACACACUCGACAAAAUGAGGUCGUGUGCGACCGGCAAGCGACCAAAUACAGUUAUACAUAUAGUAGUGCUCAAAAAUGCAAUUAUACAGGCGAAAUCAUUUCCAGUCAUAAGUACAUCCCACACAGUCAGUCCCCAAACGAUUGCGAUGGCUUUCUGUUCAUAUAUACAUCCCACACAAUAAGUAUAUGCCCUUCUAUUCAUAUAUACAUCCCACACAGUUGCUGCAAGGAAAACGUUUCCGUUCAUAGGUACAUCACACACAAUUUCCCCCGCUAAAUCAUUUGCGAUGGCGUUCCCAUCGCACACAAUAUUAAAAGAAUUAUCGUUUGCGUUAUUGAAUGCAUCACACACGGUGCGUAGAAGAAACUGUGUGGCAACGGCUAUCCAUCACACACAGUUUUUAUGUGGUACACAUUUGCGCAAGGUGGCCUAAUGCAAACAGUUUUGAAGAGAAUGUCGUGUGUGAUUGUUCAUCGAUCCAACAUGGUUUAUUCCUAGAAACUGUGUGCGUUGCUGCCUUAGGUCAUCGCCCACAGUAUUUUCUCAAUAACCGUUUUCAAUAGCAAAAACCAAUUAGCAGACUAAUUCUCCAUUAGCAGGCUAAUUGCCCUAUUAUUAAUAAUCCAUUUAUUAAUCUAAUUGACAUUCAUAUUAAACACAUAAUAUAUUUCAUUCCCAUAUUAAGGAAGCAGGAUUUCAUAACUAAAAUACACCAGAGUACAACAUGAUAUAGCUUCAGCACUCAGCUACCCCAUUACACAACUACACCAACACCAAGUUUCACAUGCAACAUCUAGAACCUUUUGAAAUUAGCAUCAUAGACGGUAUAUAGAAAGAUGCAUCUCAUCAGGGAAAACUACUGAAGCGGAAGGCGAAUAUUGAGCCUUCAUUGAUGUUGAAGGUNNNNNNNNNNNNNNNNNNNNNNNNNNNNNNNNNNNNNNNNNNNNNNNNNNNNNNNNNNNNNNNNNNNNNNNNNNNNNNNNNNNNNNNNNNNNNNNNNNNNCCUCGGGCUGCGGCCUCUGCUCGUCGUGCGGCAGACGAACGACGACAUCCGUCUCCCGCGGCAGGCGCCGCGAUGCUCGAAGAUGGGCGAUGUCCUCGGCAGUGACAUUCAAGCCCAUCCAAGAGCCCGACGACAGGGCCAUGAGCGGAGGAAGAAGAUAGAAAAUGGACAACGGAGAAGUUCUACUCGGGGCAGCAGGCGCCGCGGUGCGUCGGUUGCAAAGAGCAGGGCGAGAGCAAGGGGCAGGAAGAUGCAAGCGAGAAUAAUGCCCGCCGCCCCUGCUCCCCGAUUUAUAGCCCUCAGUUUGAAUGUGGGGGAGUGAGAUCGGCUGCAGGCGCCCUUUCCACCACCCCGCAAUAAGUGUGCACGUACACACGCAGUAACUGUCUGGGGAAGGGCAACCGGCCCCCGGACGCCGCAAUAAAUCCGCACGCAUGGGCCAAGGGCGCGCGGUGGCGGGCCCCAGCCCGUCGCCCAGUCCCAUCAAAUGCGUGGCCCGUCAGGCCCCUCCGACUGCCGGGCACCACGUGGCGCCCGCGCGAGAACCGAGGGAUCGCCCCAAGAUUCGACGGACUCCUCGGUUCCCGCUACAGCCGGGGUGCCGCGACCCGGUUUCCGAGAAAACCGGCACACAGUGGGUGUUGCCGGACCCGGUGCUCGCAGAAUUCGCCUUGUUCAAGGGGGAAACUACGAAGGCCCACUCAUCCGAAGACGGCGGACCUUCACAGCUUCAGGGACUACUGUCGGGGGGGAUGAACCCCGGGCAGGCAACGGAACCCGGGUCCUUUUCAAAAACAGCGGGGCCUGUGUCGCCCCUCAAGCCGGCACGCGCAUGGCCGGGUGGCUCGACCCAGCCAAGCCCCACAACCCGGCCAAGCUCUCCGACCCGGCAAGACACGUCGACUCGGCCCCAACAACUGGCACGAGACAACCAAACCCGGCGCAACCAAGGCUUCCCCAACAAGCCGGCCUCACCCGUGGCAUGCUCCGCAAUCCAGCCAUGGGUCAGCUCCCAUCCCAUCCAGGGCGUACGAUGGGACGAGACUUCAAUCACCGAUGACCAAGGCAACAGUGCCCCCACCCAUGCCUAUGGUCAGCCGAAGCAUGGCAAUAGUGCCCCUCACCUGCCCGCUGACUAGGGCUGGCGUGGCUACAGUGCCCCCGCCCUCACCGCUGACAACAGCAAGCGGCGACCUGACGGGGCAUCAGUGUACACGACUCGACUCGGCCUCACCUUAACGAUCGACAAGACGGCGCACAGUCCCCCUAGGCAUGCAGGGCCCGCACCUAGGGGAACCCGGCGAACCACAGGCCCCCGGCAGGACCCAGCACGGGUUCCCGGACGCUGACAACCCGGACCCACCGACUCACAAUAUUACCAUUAUAUCUCUGGUUAAAACCCCCCAGGAGCCCACGCAUAUACGGGCAUCAGAUGUGAUGUAUGUAGAGAACAGGAGCAAGUAAGCAGCUAGCCCCCGAAAUAGCCACUGAAGGAAAUAUGCCCUAGAGGCAAUAAUAAAGUUAUUAUUUAUUUCCUUAUUUCAUGAUAAAUGUUUAUUAUUCAUGCUAGAAUUGUAUUAACCGGAAACAUAAUACAUGUGUGAAUACAUAGACAAACAUAGUGUCACUAGUAUGCCUCUAAUUGACUAGCUCAUUAAUCAAAGAUGGUUAUGUUUCCUAACCAUAGACAUGUGUUGUCAUUUGAUUAAUGGGAUCACAUCAUUAGAAGAAUGAUGUGAUUGACUUGACCCAUUCCGUUAGCUUAGCACUUGAUCGUUUAGUAUGUUGCUAUUGCUUUCUUCAUGACUUAUACAUGUUCCUGUAACUAUGAGAUUAUGCAACUCCCGUUUACCGCAGGAACACUUUGGGUGCUACCAAACGUCACAACGUAAUUGGGUGAUUAUAAAGGAGUACUACAGGUGUCUCCAAAGGUACAUGUUGAGUUGGCGUAUUUCGAGAUUAGGUUUUGUCACUCCGAUUGUCGGAGAGGUAUCUCUGGGCCCUCUCGGUAAUGCACAUCACUAUAAGCCUUGCAAGCAAUGUAGCUAAUGAGUUAGUUACAGAAUGAUGCAUUACAUAACGAGUAAAGAGACUUGCCGGUAACGAGAUUGAACUAGGUAUUGGAUGCCGACCAUCGAAUCUCGGGCAAGUAACAUACCGAUGACAAAGGGAACAACGUAUGUUGUUAUGCGGUUUGACCGAUAAAGAUCUUCAUAGAAUAUGUUGGAACCAAUAUGGGCAUCCAGGUUACGCUAUUGGUUAUUGACCAAGAAUAGUUCUAGGUCAUGUCUACAUAGUUCUCGAACCCGUAGGGUCCGCACGCUUAAGGUUUCGAUGACAGUUAUAUUAUGAGUUUAUGAGUUUUGAUGUACCGAAGGAGUUCGGAGUCCCGGAUGAGAUCGGAGACUUGACGAGGAGUCUCGAAAUGGUNNNNNNNNNNNNNNNNNNNNNNNNNNNNNNNNNNNNNNNNNNNNNNNNNNNNNNNNNNNNNNNNNNNNNNNNNNNNNNNNNNNNNNNNNNNNNNNNNNNNUUGAUUAACGAGCUAGUCAACUAGAGGCUCACUAGGGACAUGUUGUGGUCUAUGUAUUCACACGUGUAUUACGAUUUCCGGAUAAUACAAUUAUAGCAUGAAUAAAAAACAAUUAUCAUGAACAAGGAAAUAUAAUAAUAAUCAUUUUAUUAUUGCCUCUAGGGCAUAUUUCCAACACAAAUAUACCUAAGGAAUGGUUUUCUCCAUCCCCUGCAUAUUGAAGUUCAUCAUAAAGCUCUUGUAGCUCGGUGGGAGCGACUGAAGGAUUCUGUCAAUGACUGCGUCAUCCGGGAGAUUAACUCCCAGCUGGGACAAGCAGUUGUGCAACCCAGGCAUUUUGAGUAUGUGUUCGCUGACGGAACUAUUCUCCUCCAUCUUACAACUGUAGAACUUGUCGGAGACUUCAUAUCUCUCGACCCGGGCAUGAGCUUGGAAAACCAUUUUCAGCUCUUGGAACAUCUCAUAUGCUCCGUGCUGCUCGAAACGCUUUUGGAGCCCCGGUUCUAAGCUGUAAAGCAUGCCGCACUGAACCAGGGAGUAAUCAUCAACACGCGACUGCCAAGCGUUCAUAACGUUUUGGUUCGCUGGGAUAGGUGCUUCAACUAGCGGUGCUUCAAGGACAUAUGCUUUCUUGGAAGCCAUGAGGAUGAUCCUCAAGUUCCGGACCCAGUCCGUAUAGUUGCUACCAUCGUCUUUCAGCUUGAUUUUCUCUAGGAACGCGUUGAAGUUGAGGACAACAUUAGCGUGGGCCAUUUGAUCUACAAGAUAUAUUGUAAAUAUUUUUAGACUAAGUUCAUGAUAAUUAAGUUCAUCUAAUCAAAUUAUUUAAUGAACUCCCACUCAGAUAGACAUCCCUCUAGUCAUCUAAGUGAUACAUGAUCCGAGUCAACUAGGCCGUGUCCGAUCAUCACGUGAGAUGGACUAGUCAUCAUCGGUGAACAUCUUAAUGUUGAUCGUAUCUUCUAUAUGACUCAUGUUCGACCUUUCGGUCUCUUGUAUUCCGAGGCCAUGUCUGUAGAUGCUAGGCUCGUCAAGUCAACCUAAGUGUUUUUCUUGUGUAAAUCUGGCUUACACCCGUUGUAUUCUAACGUUAGAAUCUAUCACACCCGAUAAUCACGUGGUGCUUCGAAACAACGAACCUUCGCAACGGUGCAGAGUUAGGGGGAACACUUUCUUUAAAUUUUAUGAGGGGUCAUCUUAUUUAUGCUACCAUCAUUCUAAGCAAAUAAGAUGUAAAACAUGAUAAACAUCACAUGCAAUCAAAUAGUGACAUGAUAUGGCCAAUAUCAUUUUGCUCCUUUUGAUCUCCAUCUUCGGGGCACCAUGAUCAUCAGCGUCACUGGCAUGACACCACGAUGUCCAUGAUUAUGAUCUCCAUCAUCGUGUCUUCAUGAAGUUGUCUCGCCAACUAUUACUUCUACUAUUAUGGCUAACGGUUUAGCAAUAAAGUAAAGUAAUUACAUGGCGUUAUUCAUUGACAUUUAGGUCAUACAAUAAAUUAAGACAACUCCUAUGGCUCCUGCCGGUUGUCAUACUCAUCAACAUGCAAGUCGUGAUUCCUAUUACAAGAACAUGAUCAAUCUCAUACAUCACAUAUAUAUCAUUCACCACAUCCUUUUGGCCAUAUCACAUCACACGGCAUAUGCUGCAAAAACAAGUUAGACGUCCUCUAAUUGUUGUUGCAAGUUUUUACGUGGCUGCUAUAGGUUUCUAGCAGGAAUGUUUCUUACCUACGCCAAAACCACAACGUGAUAUGCCAAUUGCUAUUUACCCUUCAUAAGGACACUUUUCAUCAAAUCCGAUCCGACUAAAGUGGGAGAGACAGACAGCCGCUAGCCACCUUAUGCAACUAGUGCAUGUCAGUCGGUGGAACCUAUCUCACGUAAGCGUACGUGUAAGGUCGGUCCGGGCCGCUUCAUCCCACGAUGCCGCCGAAACAAGAUAAGACUAGUAGUGGCAAGUAAAUUGACAAAAUCGACGCCCACAACAAACUUGUGUUCUACUCGUCCAUAGAAACUACGCAUAGACCUAGCUCAUGAUGCCACUGUUAGGGAUCGUUGCAGAAAUUAAAGUUUUUCUACGCAUCACCAAGAUCAAUCUAUGGAGUAACUAGCAACAAUAGAGAGGGGAGUGCAUCUUCAUACCCUUGAAGAUCGCGAGUCGGAAGCGUUGCAAGAACGCGGUUGGAGGAGUCAUACACGUAGCGAUUCAGAUCGCGUCUGAAUCCGAUCUAAGCACCGAACAACGGUGCCUCCGCGAUCAACGUGUAGCCCGGUGACGUCUCCCGCUCCUUGAUCCAGCAAGGAGGAGGGAGAGGUUGAGGAAGAAGGCUCCAACAGCAGCACGACGGCGUGGUGGUGAUGGAGUGGUAGUUCGCUGGCAGGGCUUCACCAAGCUCUUGCGGAGGAGGAGAGGUGUUGGGGAGGGGAGNNNNNNNNNNNNNNNNNNNNNNNNNNNNNNNNNNNNNNNNNNNNNNNNNNNNNNNNNNNNNNNNNNNNNNNNNNNNNNNNNNNNNNNNNNNNNNNNNNNNUUAACGAGCUAGUCAAGUAGAGGCAUACUAGUGACACUCUGUUUGUCUAUGUAUUCACACAUGUAUUAUGUUUUCGGUUAAUACAAUUCUAGCAUGAAUAAUAAACAUUUAUCAUGAUAUAAGGAAAUAAAUAAUAACUUUAUUAUUGCCUCUAGGGCAUAUUUCCUUCAGUCACUACCCCCUGCUGUCCCCCAAGAAGGCUUAGUCGAUUACUGUCCAGUGCUUCCUAAUAGAAUUAGUGUUUUCUGUUUGGGUAAUGGUGUCGAUGUGUUCUAUUCUGCUGAGAAAGAAAAUGUCAAAAAUCUCUCUGACUUACCGUAAAUUAUUUGCUCUGUUCUCCGCCUGUUCAUGAUUUUGCAAUGUUGUGUAGUUUUAGAUUUGUGUGGUGGGAUGAAUCCUCCGUAUUGUAUUUACUGCUCAUUUGAAUCUGGAGAAGCCAAGGAGUAUCCCCAACCUGUAUUUUAUGUGUCGCGUAGUAUCAGGUUAGGUUCAGACAUUUGUGUAUAUCAAGUGCCACCAAACCAAAUUCAGCCGAGAUCACUAGAUUCUAGAACACGUACUAUGUUGCUUGAUGACUGAAUAAGUUCAGUUGCACAUCUGUGAAACAAAUACAGAGAAAGAGGACCCAUUCUUGAUAGCCUACAGUUGCUGGGGUUAUGGGAACUUAGAAAGGCAUCUAGCUGAUGAGAUGUGAGUGUCUCAUUUUCUUCAUAACAACAUGCACUUUUACGAUUUCUCCACAUUUGCUCGUUGUUUUCGUGAAAAGUAUUGUCUACUUGUGUGAUGCACUGCUGUUGUAUAUUCCAAGUGCCCAUGAUCUAUUUCAUAGUACUACUAUUACAUUAAUAUACUGUAAAAUGUUGUUUUGUUCAGCAAAAAGUAGUUUCUUAAGACAGUCGUUUUGUCUUUUGAUGAUCCUUUGUUUAUUCGUCCUUUAAGCAUGUUAUUUUCUAGAGUGUCCAUGGAAAUAUGAGCAGAGCAACUAAACUGUCUAAGCAUACAGUAACUGAUGCCUCACUCUUGAAUGCCCUAGAUCUGUUCAGAAGGGCCAGUGUUAGCAACUUGUUACCGAAUUCAUAAUAUUUCUCGCAGCUGGUAGGGGAUUUGUACCACAUGGAGCAGAUGAGCUUGGAUCGGAGCUAAGAUAAUCAGUUAAUAAUUGUGCACUCAGCGAGGAUAAUCACAGUGAGUGUCGGAAUGUGGCUGGCAAAAAUUGCUAAUCUUAUGCUGAAGUUGAGGCUCACCAUUUGUUCUGUGACUACUUUUACUUAGUGGCUAAACAAAUGUGGAACUUGGUUAGGCACUACAUGCCAAGCCAAAUUAUUGAACAACACAUACUAAAAUUGCAUCACUACGGGCAGUUUGAUUGUAAAUACAACUUUAAUCCAUCUAACAAUUUCUGCUUUUCUGGGGCUUUUCUGCUUUCCUGAGGCUUUUCUGGUAUUGGUAUCACACAAUCGUUAUAUUUAUCCUAGUACGCUAGUUUUAUCAUAUUAGGAUCUUAGGAAUUUAUCUCCGAGUAAUUUUUAUAGAAAGAGGCUAUUGUAGCUCACGUCUAGAAAUUCUUAUUGAAGAACAUAUCUGAUAAAAUGUUGUUAAGACUAAAGUUGUCCAUUGCGGACUGAAGUUUGCAGCCCUGCAUAUAUCUUAAUUUUUUGUCCAUGAAUUAUGCCCAGUUCUUACCAUUCUUGUUCUUCUUCUCUGCACUACUAGGCUACUUAGUAAUUAGUACAUUCUGGUACUUUCAGUAAUCUCCAACCAUAUUAGCAGUACUGAAUAAAACUACUGAAUAAAACUUGUCUUGUUUUAUGGGAAUGGUUGAUUACCUUGAUUAUACUUAGUGGAUGGUUUAUUUAUAGUUCUUAAAAUAUGAAAAUGAAAAUUAUUUGUAUCCCUCGUUAAAGGUAUUUGACUCUAUAAAUCAUACUGAUGUUGACUCUAUAAUCAUACUGAUACUGAUGUUAAAGGUAUUUCUAGAAAGACCUGAAAUGCUAGAUGGAUUGAUUUUUCGGAGCUGUUUGAGCUCCCUGCAUCUUUCAGCUCUCAUUUUCAGUGGAGUUGUUGAACACGUCAGUAACUUUGCUAUUUUGCUGGGUUUUGUCUCUGACCAUCGUGUCGUGAUGAUUUUGCAGGUACCCCGAGAGGCCCUUGAGUUUGCCGGAAUGUCGAUGAACUUCCGUUCCGGCAAAUUCGGGUACUCCAUAUGUCCUAUUUUCAGCAAAUGUCAUGCUGAAAUUUUCCGUGAAUUUUAGCAUGACUUUGCUCAAAAUAGGACAUAUGGGGUACCUGCGACUAAUGCAUGGGCCAGGGUAUCUUAGUACUUAAUUAAGUAGGAUCAACUGCCCCGCCAUUCUUGCUGCAUUAAACCAUAGGUGGCAAUAGAGCCAAGUGAUUAGGCCCAACCUAAAUGAUGAAACCUUGGCUUCUAUANNNNNNNNNNNNNNNNNNNNNNNNNNNNNNNNNNNNNNNNNNNNNNNNNNNNNNNNNNNNNNNNNNNNNNNNNNNNNNNNNNNNNNNNNNNNNNNNNNNNUAAAGCAAAUAUCAAUGUCUUACAAGUUCUUACCAUGCAGCAGGCGGUGAUCGGCAACCAGCGUUGUCAAGUAACUCCGAAUAUUGAGUAAAGCGAUUGCCAGGGGAGCGUACGUAUACACGGUGUAGAAAUAUGUGGAGCUGGGUUGGCUAUAUAUGGUAGCAAAAGAUUAGCAAUAAUCAAUUCAAAGAUGCAAUGUUGAAUAAACGCUCAACGACGGUACUGUGCUGGUCCUAGGCUAGACCGGACUAGAGACGCGAGCCUAGAACACUAAUGAGGUCACGGCGUAGCACAACUAGCAUCAAUGAAGGAUACUAAGUAGCUCUUGACAACAAGAUAUAAGUGAAGAUCACAACGGCAGUGAAGAUAAUGAUGAAAAACAACUGCCAAGCAGGAUAUACAACAACUCUCUCUCCAACUUUCCUCUUGAAAAGUUUGAGACAAUUUUCUGAUAAAUUCUUUCAAAGAAUGCUACUAACUCAAGCUUUCCAAUGCAAAAAUAAUCACUCAAUUCCGAGUUGAUAUGAGGAGUCAAAGAAUUCUAAAACUGGCCUGAAAAAUCGGAACAAGCUGUGUUCACGAACUUCGGAGGGCAAAAAGACCUAUUUAGAAGCCGAUUUUGAGGUGUCAAAUAUUGAAUUAGCUUCUGCAACUAUUUAGAUGCGGCUCGUCGCUAUCUUCAAUUUGAGUACUCACGGAGCCAAAACGGACUUCGUAUGAGGAAGAUACACCUGUUUUACUGAACAGUGUGCAAAACAGAUUCCAAUCUGAAUUCAGGUACGAGAUUAAUUCUAGAUAGAUCCAAUUUUUUUCUUCUCUUUUUUUUCUCACGCUUUUUUUUCUUCUCUGUCUUUUUCUUUCCUUUUUUUCUCUUUUUUUUCUCUAUCUUUUUUUUCUCCCUCUUUCCAAGACAAACUAGACAAGAUGCAGAUUGGAUCAGGCGAAGAUGUGAAUGACCUCAACUAUGAUUAUGACAAUGAACAGUGCAUAGCACGUGGUGGAAAUUAAUAGAUGGGAUGGUGGACAGCGGAACGGAUAAUGAUGCAGCGGCGGCGUGACUAAUGUGAACAGAACUCGAAACUCUAAAGGAACUAGACACUAAGACCAGCAACUGACACGACGAUGCAACCGAUAAUUCAACUAUGCAAGCAAUGAAUAGAAAAUUGCAAAGGCUCAGACUGGCUUGGAUAAAGGAUGAACACAUCUAACUUUUUUUGUGGCUUUUUCUUGUACAAUAGGUAAGAAAAUAAAUCUAAUCUAAGAAAAACUGGAAAUUCUCACCGAGCAACCUGAAAACUGAUACCACUUGAUAGAGGCGGGGUGUCCCGAUCUUUCGAUGAGAUGAUACUACCGAUUUGGUGGAGACGACUUUGACGAUCCGACUACAAACGUGCACGACGUUGCGCCUUAGCAAUCGCUAAACCAAUCUCCUGAGGUUAUUGACCACGCCGGAGCACGAUCAACCUGACCACGAAGGUCUAUUCCUGCAAGCAAUCGAAGAACGAGCAAGAAUAUGAUAAAAGCAAUCUGAAUAUUGCGAAUAUAUAUGAAGUAUUGAUAAAGGUGGGGAUCCGGAAGCGGUCUUGGUCUGGUCGUUGGACACAAACGAAGUACACGAAGUUGCAAUGGCUAACUUUUAACUAAACAAAUCCCAAGGAAAAAGCUACUAGAUGGAUCUACUUAUAUAGGAGCAAGGGGUGGCGGCCAAGGAGGUGGGAGGACGUCCCAAGGCAGCCUAAAACUAACCCUAGGUCGUACAAGGCUCAUGGGCCCAAGUGGAGGUGAUGUAACACCUUUGGACUUGUAGUUUGACUCGGAUUCUGCUGCAGCAUCAGAUUGUUUCAUCCACAACUCAACGCUCUGGACGAAUUUGAAGGUGAUUCCAAUUGGGUUGGAAAGUGCACGAAAUCUAGUUUCCAACAAAAAAAGAAUCACCCAAUUCGGAGUCCGUAUGAAAAACUUGUGUGCGUUUUGAGUCAGGUAUGUCUGUGCAGUCCGAAUCUAAAUCCAGAACGUGAGAGACUUGGACUCUAUCUUCUCUUGGGCCAAAAGUGACGUGAGAGAACUUUUUGGACAGCAAAUAAACAUCUCUUUCUUCCUUAUCUUCAUAUGUGGAUUGUACAAAUGUCCCAUACACCUGCAAUUAGACAAAACACAAAAGUGUGUGAAGUAUUUUUGUUCUGGAUAACAUAAAUAGAUUAUUGAAUAGUUUGCACUAGAAAUCACCUGACAAAUAUGCAUAUAUGCAAUAUUUUUGGUCAUAUCCAAGGUAGUCAUGUCCUCAUCAUCGAUAGCAUAAAUAGAUUAUUGAAUAGUUUGCACUAGAAAUCACCUGACAAAUAUGCAUAUAUGCAAUAUUUUUGGUCAUAUCCAAGGUAGUCAUGUCCUCAUCAUUGUUGUUGUUGUUGUUGUUGUUGUUGUUGUUGUUGUNNNNNNNNNNNNNNNNNNNNNNNNNNNNNNNNNNNNNNNNNNNNNNNNNNNNNNNNNNNNNNNNNNNNNNNNNNNNNNNNNNNNNNNNNNNNNNNNNNNNUCCAUCAAAGUAGACUGAAUCUCCAAUGUGGCUACAUAGCUCAUGAAGAUUCUCGGCUAACUCCCUUGGUAAAUCUCCCGUCAUUAGUGUGUUGACAUGGCUCUUACGACUCAGCGCAUCAGCUACUAUGUUAGCCUUUCCGGGGUGAUAAGGCAAUCUCAUAUCAUAAUCCUUGAUGAGCUCCAACCAUCUUCUUUGUCUGAGAUUCAACUCCUUCUGCAUGAAAAUAUACUUCAAACUCUUGUGAUCUGUGUACACCUCACAAUGAUUUCCAAUGAGAAAGUGUCUCCAGGUUUUCAAUGCAUGCACUACGGCUGCUAACUCCAAAUCAUGCGUAGCAUAAUUCAACUCAUGGGGCUUGAGCGGUCGUGAGGCAUAGGAAACAACUCUUCCUUCCUGCAUAAGCACUGCUCCAAGUCCUCGACGUGAAGCGUCGCAAUACACCUCAUAAUCCUUGGUCUGAUCUGGCAAAAUCAACACGGGUGAUGUAACCAAACGUUUCUUCAACUCUUGGAAACUGGCCUCACAUUCCUCAGUCCAUACGAACUUGGUAUCUGUCGGUGUCAAAACCGGCGGAUCUUGGGUAGGGGGUCCUGAACUGUGUGUCUAGGCGGAUGGUAACAGGAGGCAGGGGACACAAUGUUUUACCCAUGUUCGGGCCCUCUUGAUGGAGGUAAAACCCUACAUCCUGCUUGAUUAAUAUUGAUGAUAUGGGUAGUACAAGAGUAGAUCUACCGUGAGAUCAGAGAGGCUAAACCCUAGAAGCUAGCCUAUGGUAUGAUUGUUGUUCGUACGGACUAAAACCCUCAGGUUUAUAUAGACACCGGAGAGGGCUAGGGUUACACAGAGUUGGUUACAAUGGUAGGAGAUCUACAUAUCCAUAUCGCCAAGCUUGCACUCCACGCCAAGGAAAGUCCCUUCCGGACACGGGACAAAGUCUUCAAUCUUGUAUCUUCAUAGUCUAGGAGUCCAGCCGAAGGUAUAGUCCGGCUAUCCGGACACCCCCUAAUCCAGGACUCCCUCAGUAGCCCCCGAACCAGGCUUCAAUGACGACGAGUCUGGCGCGCAGAUUGUCUUCGGCAUUGCAAGGCGGGUUCUCCUCCAAUUUCCGUGUACCUGUCGAAUAAUGUCCGGUUUCUUGUAAAUGUAGCGCUCCUUGGCUUCUACGCCUAAUAAUGGCCGUCUUCCACGUGUCAAACGAAUACGAAAAGUCAGGGUGUUUUUAUAUUUACACCCCUAGCCUCGUGAAUGAGCCGCCUAUUUAAGGGGAUGAGGAUUUAGAUCCAAACCACACGUUCUCCCCUUCGCGAGUAUUCAUCAGAGCGUAUCCGACAGAGGUCCAUUCUAUCAUGGCUAGCUGCUGCAGCUCCUCCUCUCACCCUUCCAGCCCUUAGCCUGGAGAUUGGGAGAGAUGCUCCAUCCCGCACAGCGAGCUAGUGACGCUCCAGACCAAGGGAUUUCUCCCCCCGGCCUAUAUGGUCCCGGUUCGAGCCGGACUUGACACCUAUAAUGGCGGAGAGCAAGCGGAGAGCGCCCCCAAUCCCUCUAAAGGAGAGCGGGUAUGCCUUGUCCCUUACUUAGUAAGACGGCUCGGAUUUCCUAUUCAUCCAUUUCUCUGGGGGCUCCUGGAGUUCUAUGGCCUCCAGCUGCACAACCUCACGCCUGCCUCCAUAUUGCAUAUCGCGGGCUUCGUAGCCCUUUGCGAGCUGUUUUUGGGCUGCGAGGCUCAUUUUGCGCUAUGGAAAAGGCUAUUCUGCCUUGUGCCCCGUUCUCAGAAGGGGUCAAUAUAUCAAGUGGGCGGAGCCGAAGUGUGGCGCAUCGCCGGGAACGGAUAUCUAUCCGGAACCCCAAAGAAGGCAUCCGAGGACUGGCCUUCGGAAUGAUUUUAUAUAGAGGAUGUCCCACUGCCGGAUCCUGUCCGGAUCGGCCUCCCUGAGUUUGACAGUGCUCCCCUAAAGAAGCGCCUAAGCUGGCGUCCAUGGAGCCCUCAGAGGGAAAGCGACAAGGACGUUCUUUACCUGAUGGGCCGGAUAAGAUUGUUAGCUCAUUCCGGACUGACCAUGAUCGGGGUCAUAGCCGUAUGCAUCAUGCGAGGGGUGCAGCCGCUCCAGUAUAGAAGCCACUCCAUGUGGGACUUCAACGAGAAGGACGACGCCACCUUCCAUGGCCGUAAGGGGCCGGAUUCGGCUCCCGCUAUAAUAAAGAUCUUGUCCGCUUUGUACAAGGGAGAAGAGGAGGAAUUUCUCCGCGUCAACCCACAGGGUGGAUUUUCUAUGUACAAUCCCCCAAGUCGGGUAAGUGGACACUUUUACUUGCCCAUCCGUUUUAUAUCCCAAUCGUUAAAUAUUCAGUCUAACGACUUCAACGCGGGAACUGCGCCAGGCUGUUAAAGAAAUAAACAGCCCUCCUCCACAACCCGAGGAUCCGGGANNNNNNNNNNNNNNNNNNNNNNNNNNNNNNNNNNNNNNNNNNNNNNNNNNNNNNNNNNNNNNNNNNNNNNNNNNNNNNNNNNNNNNNNNNNNNNNNNNNNUCAUCAAAAUAAGCAAACAACACAAUGAAAACAGAAUCUGUCAAAAACAGAACCGUCUAUAGUAAUCUGUAUCAAACGUAUACUUAUGGAACUCCAAAAAUUCUGAAAUAAAUAGUUGGACGUGAGGAAUUUAUCUAUUGAUCAUCUGCAAAAAUAAUCAACCUAAAAUCACUCUCCAGUAAAUAAUGGCAGCUAAUCUCGUGAGCGCAAAAGUUUCUGUUUUUUACAGCAAGAUCGCAUAGACUUCACCCAAGUCUUCCCAAAGGUUAUACUUGGCACAAACACUAAUUAAAACAUAAAACCACAUCUAAACAGACGCUAGAUGAAUUAUUUAUUACUAAACAGGAGCAAAAAGCAAAGAACGGAAAUAAAAUUGGGUUGGCUCCCAACAAGCGCUAACGUUUAACGCCCCUAGCUAGACAUGAUGAUUUCAAUGAUGCUCACAUAAAAGAAAAGAAUUGAAACAUAAAGAGAGCAUCAUGAAGAAUAUGAAUAGCACAUUUAAGUCUAAUCCACUUCCUAUGCAUAGGGAUUUUGUGAGCAAACAACUUAUGGGAACAAUAAUCAACUAGCAUAGGAAGGCAAAACAAGCAUAACUUUAAAAUUUUAAGCACAUAGAGAGGAAACUUGAUAUUAUUGCAAUUCCUACAAGCAUAUAUUCCUCCCUCAUAAUAAUUUUCAGUAGCAUCAUGAAUGAAUACAACAAUAUAACCAUCACAUAAAGCAUUCCUUUCAUGAUCCACACGCAUAGAAAUUUUAUUACUCUCCACAUAAGCAAAAAUUUUCUCAUUCGGAAUAGUGGGAGUAUCAUAAGAAACUCGAAUACUAUAAAUUGUUUCCACAUUAAAAGAGCAAUGUUCAGAAAAAGGGUAAUCAUAAUCAUGACAAGAUUUAUAAAUAUAAUCAUCACUACUUUUUAUAGCAUAAGUGUCAUCACAAUAAUCAUCAUAGGUAGCAACUUUGUUCUCAUCAUAAUCAAUUGAAACCUCUUCCAAGAUAGUGGAAUAAUUAGUAAAUAAAGUCAUGACCUCUCCAAAUCCACUUUCAUAAUUGUCACAAUAAGAUUCAACACCCUCCAAAAUAGUGGGAUCAUUACUUUCUAUAGUUGACACUCUUCCAAACCCACUUUCAUCAAUAUAACCAUCAUAAAUAGGAGGCAUGCUAUCAUCAUAAUAAAUUUGCUCAUGAAAACUUGGGAGGCUAAAAAUAUCAUCUUCAUUAAACAUAGCAUCCCAAAGCUUGGGACAAACAUUAAUUUCAGAAAAUAAAUUCUCAAACAUGUCAUUCUCAUCAAACAUAGCAUCCCCAAGCUUGGGCCUUUUCAUAUCAUAAGCAUAAUCACUCUCAUAAUUAAUAGUAUGGAUAGCACCAAUAGUAUAACAAUUAUCAUCAUCACAAUGAGUAAUAGGAGCAACAUCAUUUGGGAGGGAUACCUUUUUACCUUUGUUUCUCCGUCUUCUUUUUCUUCUUCACAUCAUGUGUGGGUUUAAUCCUCUUUUUUGAGCUCUUUAUUAAUGAGAUUGGUUGAAUAGAAAGCUCCUCAACAUGCAAUAAAGAGUCACUCCAAAGUCACUAAUAGCGGAGGACAAACGAAGAGAUUAUUGUAGGGUACGAAACCACCUCAAAGUUAUUCUUUCGGAUCGAUCUAUUCAAGAGUUCAUACUAGAAUAACACCUUAAGACACAUAUCAACCAAAACCCUAAUGUCACCUAGAUACUCCAAUGUCACCUCAAGUAUCCAUGGGUAUGAUUAUACGAUAUGCAUCACACAAUCUCAGAGUCAUCUAUUCAACCAACACAAAGAACUUCAAAGAGUGCCCCAAAGUUUCUACCGGAGAGUCAAGACGAAAACGUGUGCCAACCCUUAUGCAUAAGUUCACAAUGUCACGGAACCCGCAAGUUGAUCACCAAAACAUACAUCAAGUAGAUCACGUGAUAUCCCAUUUUCACCACAGAUAAGCACAUGCAAGACAUACAUCAAGUGUUCUAUGUCUAGUGCCCUUUGAGAUUUGGUUUGGAUAGCAUAAGGUUCCCUUAUCCUUUUCCCAAGGAGUGAUCCUGGGUAUCGAACCCACUAGAGGAUGUGCACUAUGGCAAAGAGUCAAACCAGUUAUCAUUCUCAAAUUAAAUUCCAAUUCUUUAACCGGACAUUUAACAAGCUUUUAGAUGUAAAUAAUGACACCAAAAUAGGCAUGAGUAUGACGUCUUACUCCCACAACCUUGUACUUGUGUGUGGGAUCUCAUAUUGAUAAUAAACUAGUCCUGGAAGACAUCCUUCUGUUACGAUGUGCUCACAACACGAUAAAGUGCGGGAUGUGUCUAAUAUAUGCAGGUUUAUCCAAAAGGUUAAUCUUUCAUACGCUGCAUACAUUUGGGGGGCAUACUUAUCUUAGAGAUAAUUAUCGAAUUUACAUUCGCAUGUUACCGGUUANNNNNNNNNNNNNNNNNNNNNNNNNNNNNNNNNNNNNNNNNNNNNNNNNNNNNNNNNNNNNNNNNNNNNNNNNNNNNNNNNNNNNNNNNNNNNNNNNNNNGCCGUCGUGCUGCCGUUGGAGCAAUCUUCCUCAACCUCUCCUUCCCCCUUGCUGGAUCAAGAAGGAGGAGACGUCUCCCGUCCCGUACGUGUGUUGAACGCGGAGGUGCUGUCCGUUCAACACUUGGACAUCGGUGAUCCGAAUCACGUUCGAGUACGACUCCAUCAUCACCAUCCCCUUGGCUAGCUUCCGCUCGUGAUCUACAAGUGGUAUGUAGAUGCAAACUCUCUCCCUUGACUCGUUGCUUAGAUGAACUCAUAGAUGGAUCUUGGUGAAACCGUAGGAAAAAUUUUAAUUUUCUGCAACGUUCCCCAACAGUGGUAUCAGAGCCAGGUUUAUGCGUAGUUCUCUUUGCACGAGUAGAACACAAUUUUGUUGUGGGCGUGGAUUUUGUCAUCUUACUUGCCUCUACUAGUCUUUUCUUGCUUCGGCGGUAUUGUGGGAUGAAGAGGCCCGGACCAACCUUACACGUACGCUUACGUGAGACCGGUUCCACCGACUGACAUGCACUAGUUGCAUAAGGUGGCUGGCGGGUGUCUGUCUCUCCCAUUUUAGUUGGAGCGGAUUCGAUGAAAAGGGCCCUUAUGAAGGGUAAAUAGAAGUUGACAAAAUCACGUUGUGGUUAUUUGUAGGUAAGAAAACAUUCUUGCUAGAACCCAAUUGCAGCCACGUAAAAGAUGCAACAACAAUUAGAGGACGUCUAACUUGUUUUUGCAGCGAUUGAUCAUGUGAUGUGAUAUGGCCAGAAGUUGUGAUGAAUGAUGAAUUGUGAUGUAUGAGAUCAUGUUCUUUGUAAUAGGAUUCACGACUUGCAUGUCGAUGAGUAUGACAACCGGCAGGAGCCAUAGGAGUUGUCUUUAUUUUUUGUACGACCUGUGUGUCAUUGAAGAACGCCAUGUAACUCACUUUACUUUAUUGCUAAACGCGUUAGCCAUAGAAGUAGAAGUAGUCGUUGGCGUGACAACUUCAUGAAGACACGAUGAUGGAGAUCAUGAUGAUGGAGAUCAUGGUGUCAAGCCGGUGACAAGAUGAUCAUGGAGCCCCGAAGAUGAAGAUCAAUGGAGCUAUAUGAUAUUGGCCAUAUCAUGUCACAACUAUAUAAUUGCAUGUGAUGUUUAUUAUGUUUAUGCAUCUUGUUUACUUAGGACGACGGUAGUAAAUAAGAUGAUCCCUUACAAAAAUUUCAAGAAGUGUUCUCCCCUAACUGUGCACCGUUGCUACAGUUCGUCGCUUCUAAGCACCACGUGAUGAUCGGGUGUGAUGGAUUCUUACGUUCACAUACAACGGGUGUAAGACAGUUUUACACAGCGAAAACACUUAGGGUUAACUUGACGAGCCUAGCAUGUGCAGACAUGGCCUCGGAACACGGAGACCGAAAGGUCGAACACGAGUCGUAUGGAAGAUACGAUCAACAUGAGAAUGUUCACCGACGAUGACUAGUCCGUCUCACGUGAUGAUCGGACACGGCCUAGUCGACUCGGAUCGUGUAACACUUAGAUGACUAAAGGGAUGUCUAAUCUGAGUGGGAGCUCAUAAUUUGAUUAGAACUUAAUUAUCAUGAACUUAGUCUAAAACCUUUGCAAAUAUGUCUUGUAGAUCAAAUGGCCAACGCUCAUGUCAACAUGAACUUCAACGCGUUCCUAGAGAAAACCAAGCUGAAAGAUGAUGGCAGCAACUAUACGGACUGGGUCCGGAACCUGAGGAUCAUCCUCAUAGCUGCCAGGAAACAAUAUGUCCUAGAAGGACCGCUAGGUGACGCUCCCGUCCCAGAGAACCAAGACAUUAUGAAUGCUUGGCAAACUCGCGCUGAUGAUUACUCCCUCGUUCAGUGCGGCAUGCUUUACAGCUUAGAACCGGGGCUCCAAAAGCGUUUUGAGCAUCACGGAGCAUAUGAGAUGUUCGAAGAGCUGAAACUAGUUUUCGAAGCUCAUGCCCGGGUCGAUAGAUAUGAUGUCUCUGACAAGUUCUACAGUUGUAAGAUGGAGGAAAACAGUUCUGUCAGUGAGCACAUCCUGAAGAUGUCUGGGUUGCACAACCGUAUGACCCAGCUGAACAUUAACCUCCCAGAUGAGGCGGUCAUUGACAGAAUCCUCCAGUCGCUCCCACCAAGAUACAAGAGCUUUGUGAUGAACUACAACAUGCAGGGGAUGGAAAAGACCAUUCCUGAAGUGUUCUCGAUGCUGAAGUCAGCAGAGGCUGAAAUCAAGAAAGAACAUCAAGUGUUGAUGGUCAAUAAGACCACUAAGUUCAAGAAGGGCAAGGGUAAGAAGAACUUCAAGAAGGACGGCAAGGAGGUUGCCGCGCCUGGUAAGCCAGUUACCGGGAAGAAGUCAAAGAAUGGACCUAAGCCUGAGACUGAGUGCUUUUAUUGCAAGGGGAAGGGUCACUGGAAGCGGAACUGCCCCAAAUACUUAGCAGAUAAGAAGGCCGNNNNNNNNNNNNNNNNNNNNNNNNNNNNNNNNNNNNNNNNNNNNNNNNNNNNNNNNNNNNNNNNNNNNNNNNNNNNNNNNNNNNNNNNNNNNNNNNNNNNGUUACCGGCAAGUCUCUUUACUCGUUCCAUAACACAUCAUCCCGUGAUCAACCCCUUGGUCACAUUGUGCACACUAUGAUGAUGUCCUACCGAGUGGGCCCAGAGAUACCUCUCCGUUUACACGGAGUGACAAAUCCCAGUCCCGAUUCGUGCCAACCCAACACACACUUUCGGAGAUACCUGUAGUGCACCUUUAUAGCCACCCAGUUACGUUGUGACGUUUGCUACACCCAAAGCAUUCCUACGGUAUCCGGGAGUUGCACAAUCUCAUGGUCUAAGGAAAAGAUACUUGACAUUAGAAAAGCUUUAGCAUACGAACUACACGAUCUCUAUGCUAGGCUUAGGAUUGGGUCUUGUCCAUCACAUCAUUCUCCUAAUGAUGUGAUCCCGUUAUCAAUGACAUCCAAUGUCCAUGGUCAGGAAACCGUAACCAUCUAUUGAUCAACGAGCUAGUCAACUAGAGGCUUACUAGGGACAUGGUGUUGUCUAUGUAUCCACACAUGUAUCUGAGUUUCCUAUCAAUACAAUUAUAGCAUGGAUAAUAAACGAUUAUCAUGAACAAGGAAAUAUAAUAAUAACUUAUUUAUUAUUGCUUCUAGGGCAUAUUUCCAACAGUCUCCCACUUGCACUAGAGUCAAUAAUCUAGUUCACAUCGCCAUGUGAUUAACACUCACAGGUCACAUCGCCAUGUGACCAACAUCCAAAGAGUUUACUAGUUUCAUUAAACUAGUUCACAUCAUCAUGUGAUUAAGACUCAAUGAGUUCUGGGGUUUGAUCAUGUUUUGCUUGUAAGAGAGGUUUUAGUCAACGGGUCUGCAACAUUUAGAUCCGUAUGCACUUGGCAAAUCUCUAGGUCAUAUUGUAAAUGUUGCUUCCACGCUCCACUUGAAGCUAUUCCAAAUGGUUGCUCCACUAUACGUAUCCGGUUUGCUACUCAGAGUCACUCGGAUAGGUGUUAAAGCUUGCAUCGACGUAACCCUUUACGCCGAACUCUUUAUCACCUCCAUAAUCGAGAAACAUGUCCUUAUUUACUCCAAGGACAAUUUUGACCGCUGUCCAAUGAUCCAUUCCUGGAUCAUUCUUGUACCCCUUGACUGACUCAUGGCAAGGCACACUUCCGGUGCGGUACACAGCAUAGCAUACUAUAGAGCCUACGUCUGAAGCAUAGGGGAUGACCUUCGUCCUUUCUCUCUCUUCUGCCGUGGUCGAGCUUUAACUCUUAACUUCAUACCUUACAACUCAGGCAAGAACUCCUUCUUUGACUGAUCCAUCUUGAACACCUUCAAGAUCAUGUCAAGGUAUGUGCUCAUUUGAAAGUACCAUUUAGCGGUUUUUGAUCUAUCCUCAUAGAUCUUGAUGCUCAAUGUUCAAGCAGCUUAAUCCAGGUGUUCUAUUGAAAAACACUUUCAAAUAACCCUAUAUGCUUUCCAGAAAUUCUAUAUCAUUUCUGAUCAACAAUAUGUCAACAACAUAUACUCAUCAGAAAUUCUAUAGUUCUCCCACUCACUUCUUUGGAAAAACAAGUUUCUCAUAAGCUUUGUAUAAACCCAAAAUCUUUGAUCAUCCCAUCAAAGUGCACGUUCCAACUCCGAGAUGCCUACUCCAGUCCUUAGAAGGAUCGCUGGAGCCAGCAUACCUUUUAGCAUCCUUAGGAUCGACAAAACUUUUCUGAUUGUAUCACAUACAACCUUUCCUUAUGAAAACUGGUAAGGAAACUCGUCUUGACAUCCAUCUGCCAGAUUUCAUAAAUGCAGCUAAUGCUAACAUGAUUCCGACGGACUUAAGCAUCGCUACGGAUGAGAAAAUCACAUCGUAGUCAACUCCUUGAACUUGUGAAAAACUCUUCGCCACAAGUCGAGCUUCAUAGAUGGUGACAUUACCGUCCACGUCCGUCUUCUUCUUAAAGAUCCAUUUAUCUCAAUGGCUUGCCGAUCAUCGGGCAAGUCCACCAAAGUCCAUGCUUUGUUCUGAUACAUGGAUCCUAUCUCGGAUUUCAUGGCUUCUAACCAUUUGUCGGAAUUUGGGCCCACCAUCGCUUCUCCAUAGCUCGUAGGUUCAUUGUUGUCUAGCAAAAUGACCAUCAAGAUAGGAUUACUGUACCACUCUAAAGUAGUACGCAUAAUUGUCACCCUACGAGGUACGGUAGUGACUUGAUCUAAAAACUUCAUGAUCACUAUCAUAAGCUUCUACUUCAAUUGGUGUAGGCGCCAUAGGAACAACUUCAUGUGCCCUGCUACAUACUUGUUCAAGUGAUGGUUCAAUAACCUCAUCAAGUCUCCACCAUCCUCCCACUCAAUUUUUGAGACAAACUUUUCCUCAAGAAAGGACCCGAUUCAAGAAACAAUCCCUAUUGCUUUCGGAUCUGAAUUAGGAGGUAUACCCAACUGUUUUGGGUGUCCUAUGAAGAUGCAUUUUAUCCGCUUUGGGUUCNNNNNNNNNNNNNNNNNNNNNNNNNNNNNNNNNNNNNNNNNNNNNNNNNNNNNNNNNNNNNNNNNNNNNNNNNNNNNNNNNNNNNNNNNNNNNNNNNNNNGUCCGGGAACUUCCAGAGGCUGAUGUAGAGGCAGGUGAGGGUGGUGACGGUGAAGAGCGCCACUGGGAGGGGCACGUCUGAUAAGUCUCCGUCGUAUCUAUAAUUUUUGAUUGUUGCAUGCCAAUAUUAUAUCACUUUCACAUACUUUUGGCAACUUUUUAUAUGAUUUAUUGGACUAACCUAUUGAUCUAGUGUCCAGUGCCAGUCCUGUUUUCUGUAUGUUUUUUGUAUUGCAGAGUAUCCAUAUCAAACGAAGUCCAAAUGCAAUAGAAUUUCACAGAGAAUUAUUUUGAAAUAUAUGUGAUUUUUGGGAGUUGGAAUCACCGGAUGGAGGCCCGUGGUGGGCACAACCCACCAGGGCGCGCCAGAGGAGCCAGGCGUGCCGUGGUGGGUUGUUCUCACCUCGUACGUCAGUUGGACCUCUACUUCGGGCGCAAGGAAGCUUAUAUCCGGAAAAAAUCAUGUUAAAACCUUAGCGCAAUCGGAGUUACGAACCUCCGGGAAUAUAAGAAACGGUUUUCGGCUAGAUCUGGGGAACGCGAAACAUAAGAGAACGGAGAGGGAGAUCCAAUCUUGGAGGGGAUCCCGCCCCUCCGCCAUGCUACCUCUUGAGCAUGCAUUGGUUUUCCCCGAAGAGGAAGGGAUGAUGCAGCAAAGUAGCGUAAGUAUUUCCCUCAGUUUUUGAGAACCAAGGUAUCAAUCCAGUAGGAGGCUACGCGUUAGUCCCUCAUACCUGCACAAAACAGAUAAAUCCUCGCAACCAACGCAAAUAGGGGUUGUCAAUCCCUACUUGGCCACUUACGAGAGUGAGAUCUGAUAGAUAUGAUAAGAUAAUAUUUUUGGUAUUUUUAUGGUAAAGAUGCAAAGUAAAAUAAAAGCAAAGUAAAAGCAAAAGUAAAUAACUAAGUAUUGAUAGAUUAAUAUGAUGAAGAUAGACCCGGGGGCCAUAGGUUUCACUUGUGGCUUCUCUCGAGAGCAUACGUAUUCUAUGGUGGGUAAAUAAAUUACUGUUGAGGAAUUGACAGAAUUGAGCAUAGUUGUGAGAAUAUCUAGGUAUGAUCAUGUAUAUAGGCAUCAUGUCCGAGACAAGUAGACCGACUCCUGCCUGCAUCUACUACUAUUACUCCACUCAUUGACCGCUAUCCAGCAUGCAUCUAGAGUAUUAAGUUAAUGAAAACAAAGUAAUGCCUUAAGCAAGAUGACAUGAUGUAGAGGGAUAAACUCAUGCAAUAUGAUGAAAAUCCAUCUUGUUAUCCUCAAUGGCAAAAAUACAAUACGUGCCUUGCUGCCCCUACUGUCACUGGGAAAGGACACCCCAAGAUUGAACCCAAAGCUAAGCACUUCUGCCAUUGCAAGAAAGAUCAAUCCAGUAGGCCAAACCAAACUGAUAAUUUGAAGAGACUUACAAAGAUAACCAAUCAUAGAUAAAAGAAUUCAGAGAAGAUUCAAAUAUUGUUCAUAGAGAGACUUGAUCAUAAACCCACAAUUCAUCGGUCUCAACAAACACACCGCAAAAAGAAGAUUACAUCGAAUAGAUCUCCACAAGAGAGGAGGAGAACUUUGUAUUGAGAUCCAAAAAGAGAGAAGAAGCCAUCAAGCUACUAACUACGGACCCAUAGGUCUGAAGUAAACUACUCACACUUCAUCGGAGGGGCUAUGGUGUUGAUGUACAAGCCAUCCGUGAUCGAUUCCCCCUCCAGUGGAGCUCCGGAACAGGCCCCAAGAUGGGAUCUCCUGGAUACAAAAAGUUGCGGCGGUGGAAUUAGGGUUUUGGCUCCGUAUCUGAUCGUUUGGGGGUACGUAGGUAUAUAUAGGAGGAAGCAGUACGUCGGUGGAGGAACAGGGGGCCCACGAGGAUGGAGGGCGCGCCUGGUGGGGGUGGGCGCGCCCCCCUACCUCGUGGCUUCCUCUUUUGUGUAUUGACGUAGGGUCCAAGUCUCCUGGGUUUUGUUCAUUGAGAAAAUCACGUUCUCGAAGGUUUCAUUCCGUUUGGACUCCGUUUGAUAUUCCUUUUCUUCAAAACCCUAAAACAGGCAAAAAAUAGCAAUUCUAGGCUGGGCCUCCGAUUAAUAGGUUAGUCCCAAAAAUAAUAUAAAAGUGGAUAAUAAAGCCCAAUAAUGUCCAAAACAGUAAUAAUAUGGCAUGAAGCAAUCAAAAAUUAUAGAUACGUUGGAGACGUAUCAAGCAUCCCCAAGCUUAAUUCCUGCUCGUCCUCGAGUAGGUAAAUGAUAAAAACAGAAUUUUUGAUGCGGAGUGCUACUUGGCAUAAUUUCAAUGUAAUUCUUCUUAAUUGUGAUAUGAAUAUUUGUUGGGGAACGUAGUAAUAAUUCAAAAUUUCCCUACAUGUCACCAAGAUCAAUCUAGGAGAUGCUAGCAACGAGAGAGAGAGGGAGUGCAUCUUCAUACACUUGAAGAUCGCUAAGCAGAAGCNNNNNNNNNNNNNNNNNNNNNNNNNNNNNNNNNNNNNNNNNNNNNNNNNNNNNNNNNNNNNNNNNNNNNNNNNNNNNNNNNNNNNNNNNNNNNNNNNNNNUGGUCCAAUGUCGUGUUCGUCGUCCGCUGGUUCACCCUGCUCUAUCGCUGGGUCUAUAUGAUCUCUGUUUCUGCCAAGGCGGGAUUUGGAGCGGCGAUUACGCCGCCGCUUUGACUGCUUCUCGAGGGAUCGAUCCUUCGCUGCGUCCUUCCGUUCCUUGUUGUCGCUUUCUUUGGGUGUGUCCACCAUGUAUACAUCAUGUGAUGACGUGGGCAUCCAGAGCCCUAUGGGCAGUGGUUCCUGUUCGUCUCCUGCAUCGUCGUCCAUACCGUCGAUGUCUUCGGAGUCGAAGUCGAGCAUGUCGGUUAAAUUGUCGACAAUGGCUACUAAGUGGGUGGUGGGUCGGCGGCGAAUUUCUUCGUCAUCCGCAUCCCAAUCCUGCCAAACAUAGUUCGGCCAGGACUCUCCUGACAGGGAGAGAGACCUUAAUGAGUUCAGUAUGUUGCCGAAGGGCGAGUGCUAAAAGAUAUCCGCGGAGGUAAACUCCAUGAUCGGCGCCCAGUCGGAUUCGAUAGGCACGGGCGCAGGCGGUUCGGAGUCCGUGGCCGGGGAAGAAUCUGGCAAUUUGGUGUCACGGCUCUCGUGAAGGGUAAGGUCGAUAUUUGGCUCGAUCGCCAUUGAGAAUGCAGCCUCCAUGGCGGGGUCUAUCCACCCGCCCAUGCAUGGCGCAAUUGGCUCCGAAUUGAAGGUCGGAGCGGUUGCCAGUGCGGUAUCCUGAACACUGUCCGAUGGUAGAGCUAAAUCAUGCUCAUCGUGACCGUGUGGCGCACUCGACAGGGGCUCAAAUGCGUCGAAGAUCAAGUCUCCGCGGAUGUCGACCGUAUAGUUUAAGCUUCCAAACCUGACCUGGUGGCCAGGGGCGUAACUCUCGAUCUGCUUCAGAUGGCCAAGCGAGUUGGCCCGCAGUGCGAAGCCACCGAAUACAAAGAUCUGCCCGGGGAGAAAAGUCUCACCCUGGACUGCAUUGCUACCGAUGAUCGGAGGAGCCAUCAAGCCUAACGGUGACGACAUAGAGGAACUCUCAAUGAAAGCACCAAUGUCGGUGUUAAAACCGGCGGAUCUCGGGUAGGGGGUCCCGAACUGUGCGUCUAAGGCGGAUGGUAACAGGAGGCAGGCGACACGAUGUUUUACCCAGGUUCGGGCCCUCUUGAUGGAGGUAAAACCCUACGUCCUGCUUGAUUGUUCUUGAUAAUAUGAGUAGUACAAGAGUAGAUCUACCACGAGAUCAGAGAGGCUAAACCCUAGAAGCUAGCCUAUGGUAUGAUUGUAUGUUGUCCUACGGACUAAAACCCUCCGGUUUAUAUAGACACCGGAGGAGGCUAGGGUUACACAAGGUCGGUUACAAAGGAGGAGAUAUGCAUAUCCGUAUUGCCUAGCUUGCCUUCCACGCCAAGUAGAGUCCCAUCCGGACACGGGACGAAGUCUUCAAUCUUGUAUCUUCAUAGUCCAACAGUCCGGCCAAAGGAUAUAGUCCGGCUGUCCAGAGACCCCCUAAUCCAGGACUCCCUCAAUGAGCCUCGCAAGCAAAGCACUGGGGAACAAAAGAAAUUCCCACCAAAAGUCAAAACAGUAAACGUGUUACACGUGACAAAGGGGAGAAACAAAGCAGCACUCCUAGAGACACAUGCCCCAGGGCCUAUCACCGCGGAGUUCUGCCACUGGUCAUCCUAACCCAUCACCUUUGACCAUCAGGAUUACUCGGCAAGUAUCCGACGUGCAGGAUGGGCUGCCUUGGUAUUAGACCCAAUAAUUGAUGGAUACCACUUCGCACGAGUCCUGAUGGACGGCGACAGCAGUUUAAACCUGAUAUAUCAUGAUACAGUUAGUCGUGGUCAUCUUCACACCAAGAUAGUCGUGGUAGUAUGUGGAGAUGGCCACAUAGCGCACCUCGUACUGCAUCUGGCGGGCCUUCUUCUUGCAUUGGCGCAACAUGAUCUGGUCCGCUCUAGCCCUGUGCUCCGGAAGAACUCGAUAGAAUUUCUACAAUCAUGCAUGAAACAAGAAUGGGAGAAGCCAUGAGUUAAAUCAUUCAUGAAACUAGAAUGGACUUGUGCUUCU